UGACGCGUAGGUCAGAUGAGCUAGUGCUCUAGGGGCUCGCUAGUAAAAAUUGGCUCCAAGGGUGCUCUUACUGGCUCUAAUUAAGCCGGUACCUGAAACCCAAUCGGGCGGCCGGAGGCGGGGAAUACGACCUUCCGGGCGCCCUUCGAGUGUGUGGGCGAGGCUCUGUAGUGGAGGAGGGUGGGUGGUGGCACUAGCAAGAGCUCGGAGGGUCUAUUUACAAGUAGCCGCGAGGGGAGCCAUGGGGGGCCAACUCCACCGACAUGUUUUGGCGAGAUAGAGGGGUUAGCGGGUAUUCACUGGGUUGGGUGAGCUGCUAUGGUGUGUGGCUGAUCCAUUUUGCUCAUGAACACGACCUAAUGCGGGCAGGGACAUGCUAUCAAUGGGGCAGCUCGUCACGGAUGCUUCGGCAGCAGAAUACACGCUCUGUGUUGUCCAGCGCAUGGUGACGGGCAUCACGGCACGCAGGGGUGGUGGACGGGAAUGCGGUGCUUGCUGAGCGCUUGGGCGGUGCCGGGCGGCGCGACUUUGUAGCAAUGGCUACUGGCGGCCACGACAACCGUCACUAGCGCUGCCACCAGAGUUGGCAGGUUGAAGCCACCUAACCACUGACACGCGCAACCGGCCAAGGGACCGUGUGGUGCGGUGGAUAGGCUUGGGGCACAGUGCACAAGUUGCGAGGGUUGCCAUUGGUGAGAUUGACGAUGAACUCCCUCCCCCCUCGAAUAGUGCACACCACUUGUUCGACAGAAACAAAACUGCACAAGGAAAAGAUCUAGGUGCUGAAAAUUUCUGGGGUGGCCUCUCAUUGAUCCCAGAGGCUGCGUGUAAAUUUUCAGAAUUUUUAGAAAAGUUUAAGUUAGUUUGUUAACAAAAACAGCCAAACUUGGUCAAACUUUGAUCAAACCUAAUUUGAUAAUUUUAAACAAGAGACCAGAAUGUUUUUGGUGAAAUGAGUUGUGGGUACCUAGGUCUGCAAUGGAUAGGUAUUUUAGUGUCAGCAACCAAAGGGAACUAAUAGUUCCUUUACAAAUUUUUGGGGGCUAAAACUGAUCACAGAAAUUGUCUUUCGUUAAAAUAAAAUAUAAAACUCAAUCAAAUUGUCCCCAAACCUUUUAAAAGGAGUCUUGAAGCUAAUGGAGGGUCAUGGGCAAGAAAUUAUAGAGGGGAGAAGAGAAGAGCACAUUUGUUAAACUAGUUACCAAAAUUUUGGGGCACUCAUCGCAUAGGAGAUUUUUAAGAAGAUAUUUUAAAACGGGUUAUCCAAGAAAACUUUGUGAAGAAGAAUUUCAGCAAGACUCUUCCCUAAAGGAGAGUAGUUAUCAAAAGAACCAUCAAAGGGUUUUGAUCUAGAAAGUAUUUUCAACGAAUCCAAAAAUGUUUUUGUAAUUUUUUUUUGGGAAAUCCACUCAAAAGUAAUUAAAACUCAGAAAAAUCCAAAUUGGAACUUUGAGGGUGUUACGACACCUACCCCCUUAAGAAAAAUCUCGUCCCCUAGAUUUCAGCCAUUCCUCAAGCAAGUGCAGAUGUUCCUUUUGCAAAAAGUCUUCUCUUUCCCAAGUAGCCUCAUUCUGUGAAUGGUUACUCCACUAUACCCUGAAUAGCUUGGUGACCUUCUAAUGUGUCUUCCUUUCUACUUCCUCUAGUAUCCUUACGGUGUGUUCCUGGUAAGUGAGGUCUAGUUGCACCUCUAUGUUGUCGUGGGAUACCUGUUGGUAUAGAUUUCUCACACAGUUCCUUAACUGAGAAACGUGAAAGACGUCGUGCACGUCUCACAACUAUGUGGGUAGGUCGAGGUGAUAGAAAACCUGGCCUCUUCACAUGAUUAUCUGGAACGGUCCGAUAAAGUGGGGUGCGAGAUUGCCUUUGACCUUGAUUCUUUGCAAUCCCGUCAUUGGUGAUAGUUUGAGGUACACAUAACCGUUUGGCUCAAAGCCGAUGUCACGUUGUUUUUUAUCAUAAUAGCUCUUCUCACGGCUUUGGGCUGUCUUGAGUCGAUCCGUGAUGAUCUUUACUUUGUUCUCAGCCUCUUGAAGCAUGUGUGGGCCGAAGAUAUGACUAUCCCCGGUCUCUGACCAAUUUAGUGGUGUAUGGCACCUUUGUCCGUACAAGGCUUCAAAAGGUGACAUUUGCAGACUUUCCUGGUAGUUGUUUGUUGUAAGAAAACUCAGCGUAAGGCAAACUGUCCUCCCAAUUGUUCCCAUAUGUUAGUACACAUGCCUUGCGCAUGUCCUCCAGAAUCUGGUACACACGCUUGGUCUGUCCUCCAUCCUAAGGGUGAUAUGCUGUGCUGAAGACUAAUUGUGUUCCCAAGGCUUGUUGUAAAUAAUAUCAAAACCUUGAGGAAAACGAAGUGCCUCGAUCGUACAUUAUGGUCUUCGGGAUCCCGUGGAAGCAGACAAUGCAAGCGAGGUACAACCUAGCUAACUUCUGUGUGGAGUAAGUGGUCUUCAUUGGAAAGAAAUGAGGCACCUUGGUGAGUCGAUUAGUGAUAACCCAUAUAGCAUCGUGUCCGUGUCGUGCUGGGGUAGUCCGACAACAAAGUCCAUGCCGACCUCAUCCCAUUGCUGGCAGGAAUCACAACAUGCAAUGAAAGAAGAGAUAUCUCUAUUCAUUUCAUGCCACCAAUAUUUUGUCUGUAGGUCCUUCUACAUUUUUGUGCCUCCUAGAUGGAUCGAAUACGACACGUUGUUAGCCUCUUCCAAAAUUUGCACCUUGAGGUCCUCUUAGUCUCGUACGCAUAGUCAGUCGCCGUACCAUCAUAUCCCUUAUUCGUCAAUAAUAAAUUUGGGGGCCUUGCCUAGGUCACCUUUCUUUUUAUGCCUUCAAUACUAGGGUACUCGUUCUGAGCCUUCUUGAUCUGCUCAUCUAGAGUGGGUUGUACUUCCAUUUGUGCAACAGUGCCUUCUGGAACGAGAAGCACGUUUAGUCGAGCGAACUCCUGAAUGAAUUCAGGUCUUAAACUUUGUACAGUGCCAUUGUCUGGAGUGGGGUUCCUACUAAGACCAUCGGCUACCACGUUGGCUUUACCAGGAUGGUAAUGAAUACCCACAUCAUAAUCUUUAAUUAAUUCUAACCAACGGCGCUGCCGGAGGUUGAUAUCUGGUUGAGUGAAGAUAUAUGUGAGACUCUUGUGAUCGGUGUAAAUUUCAAAGUGAUUUCCAAGUAAGAAAUGUCUCCAUUCCUUGAGAGCUGUAUCAUGGCAGCUAAUUCCAAAUCAUGAGUGGGUUAAUUUUCUUCAUGUCGUCAUAAUUUCCUUGAGGCGUAAGCCAUGACUUUUCCUUCCUGCAUGAUUACACAUCUAAGGCCUUUCCUUGAGGUGUCACAGUAUACUUCAAAAUUCUUGUGUAGAUCAGGGACGAUUAACACUAAUGCAGUCGUGAGUCUCUUCUUCAACUCAUGGAAGCUAUUCCCGCAUGCUUCAGUCAUUUUGAAAAUUUUAUCCUUUUUGAACAACUAGGUCAUGGGCUUGGCAAUGGUGGAGAAACCUUGAAUGAAUCUCCCGUAAUAUCCUGCCAUUCCGAGGAAACUCUGCACAUCUGUCAUGUUGGCUGGUUUGUACCAUCCAUUUAUGGCCUUGACCUUCUCAGGAUCCACUACUAUGCCUUCUUGGGUCAUUACAUGGCCCAAAAAUCUGACUUAUUUUAGCCAAAAUUCACAUUUGUUGAAUCUGUCAUAUAACUGAUGCUUCGCAACUCACCUAAUGCAAUUCUUAGGUGUUGCGCGUGCUCUUCGGGUGUCUUGGAGUAGAAAAGUAUGUCGUUGAUGAAUACUACGACAAAUUUAUCCAUGUACUUCAUGACGACCUUGUUCAUUAGAUGCACGAAAUAUGUUGGGGCAUUUGUUAGUCCAAAAGGCAUCACAGUAGACUAGUACACUCUAUAUCGGGAUGUAAAAGUCGUUUUGGGAAUAUCUUCCGGGUGUAUCUUUAACUCAUGAUACCCCAACCAUAAGUCAGUCUUCAAGAAAAUAUUUGCUUGUGACAGUUGGUUUAAUAAAUCAUUUAUUCGGGACAAAGGAUACUUGUUCUUGAUGGCGGCCAUGUUGAGAGCUCGAUAAUCGACGCAUAGUCUUAGUGUUCUGUCUCUCUUUUUGGCAAACAGUACUAGCGAUCCACAUGGUGAGGAGCUGGGUCUGAUGUACCCUUUGUCCAAUAGUUCCUUUAUUCGUUUCUAAAAUUCGACCAAUUCGGUAGCUUCCAUAUGAUAAGGCUUCUUGUAUAUUCGGGAUGUACCGGGUGCAAGUUCAGUGACGAACUCUAUCUCUCGGUCUAGUGGUAUACCUCGUAGUUCUUCGGGAAACACGUCCGGGAAUUCACAUACAACCGGAACAUCCUUUAGCCCAGAGAUGUCCAUUUUGCUCAGUUGGGCUUGCGUUGGUUUGGUUCUCUCCAAGGCUACAACUUUUACUCCUUUUCCCUUAUGAUGGGUGAGGGUUACAGUCUGGUUGAGGUAGUCAAUAAAUCCUUUGUUGGCAUUCAACCAAUCCAUUCCCAAAACGACAUCAAGAUUGUUGCUCUUGGGGACCCCGAGUGUCAAACUGAACUUGGCAGUCACAAUUAUAUUUGCCCAGAGUGUCAAACUGUGGGGACCCCGACUAGUAAGUCGAGAUCGCCGUGCCCAGUGACCCCAAGGAUCAAUGCUCACUGAACACAGAUACUGAAUAAUAGAGUCUUACAUCCAAAUACCGAUAUUACAUAAAAUGACCGAAGGGUCAGGUUCACAAGCAGGGCCUAAGGCCAAUUAAAACGGGUACGAUGGGUAGCAGAAACUCAUAAGAGCUAAGCGGGUGCCCAUGCCAUCAAGCUUACACCGACAUGCAUUCUGACUUGGAAGCGUCCUAGAUCGUAGGUCCGUCUCCGAAGACGUUCUCAUCACCAAACUACGGUCCUUCCAUGUCUGGUCAAGAAUAUAACCAGUGGCAAGCCAAUGAGUACUUUCAAUGUACUCGCAAACAGCCCAUGAUAUGAAUAAUGAAAGUGAAGUACAACAAUAACAUGCAGCUUUGAUGAAAUGCAACUUGGUGGGAAGAUCAUGUAUAUGCAUCAAGCUAAAAAUUACUCUUGAAGAACAGGUUACAGAUGCCCUCGCAUCUGUCAAGGGCUGAACAAUCCGGCUUCACCCUAUAUGCCAAGUCACCGAACUUGGUCAUAUCAAUUCAUCUUGUAACACCAAUUACCACACAUACACACACAAAAACUCACACUUGGUUUAUGCGGAAACGCUGGACGUAGUUUAAGCAGGAUUACCCAACUGUCCUUGACCAUGGACACGGCUAUUUGAAUAGUUUACACUCUGGAGAGGUAGUACGCUGGACGCACGAGAUCCGGGAAACUUUCGUGUCAUCCACGACUCGCGGUAUAUCACAUACCCGAGGUAAGUAUCUGAUCAAUGCAUUUCCCCUAAUGAUACUAGACAAAGAGGUCCACUCAAUUGGUACCCAACCGACAUGUUGUACGUCUUACGAGCACCGACUCUGGACAGUAUCAACCAUGCGGGGACCAACGGUGUGCCUGGAACUCAUAAAAAUGGCAUAGUCGCCCUUCCUAGCACGACCCCAUCACAAGAGUGACAAUAAUCACUCCCGCCACUAGUAAUGUGGCUCUUUGCUAGUACCGACCAGAGUAAUCAACAAAGCCCCGUCCCAUAAAUGGGUAACAUGGUCGCACAUGUAUGGUUGGGACGGUCGACACAUCAUAAAUCUAAUCCCAUUUCCGAAACCAUACUCACACAAAACACCGGUGCACCACUUCACCAAAAGUGGCCACCCAUCUCAUCAUCACCCUCGGGCAUUAGUGGCACCCGACGGGGUUUUUCAUAAACCUUUGAUUUAACUCAACAUCAUGUUCAUGCAAUGGUUCUCUAAAUCUACUAGUCAACGUGAUAGUAACAUGAUCCUCAUAGAUGGUAGGAUCAAGCUCAUCAUGCUUGUGCUCCGAGGAGCCAUAUGUAUAACAUCACCAUCAUGCAAGUGCUUCAAAGAAGCCUUCGGUACCAUCACACCAAUGAUGAACCGGCACUAUGAUAACAUGCAACGGAAAAGUACUUGCUAUUCUAGCAUGCAUCAAUUUAUAUUCUCAAGUCAUGGUCAAAGGGCUGCUUGCCUUGGUCAGCUAGGUAUCCGGGGUCUUCGAGGUCUUCCACUCCGAAUCCUUCGUCACUCGGUAAUUCUAUCAUCGAGAAUAUAAUAAAUAAGAAAUAGCUCACACAAAAACAGAUCACAAAUCACUUUUAAAAAUGUUGCAAAACUUUGUUAAAUUCAGGUUGUUAAUUAGAAAAAUAUCUUCUCUUAGUUUUUACUAGCUAAGCAUUUUUAAUAAUUACUAAACAGGGUCAAACUAUUGCCUUUAAUGCCUUUAUAUUAUUAUAAAAUAGAUUCUGUUCUUGAAAAAUGCCAACAAUGGCAGAAUCAAAUACUACUCAUUUUUAGAAAAAUAUAUUUUUCCACUGGGUAGUUAUUUUUACAAAAAUCAUUUUAGUCUCUGUUUUAAAAAUAAAAGAAAAAGGCCAAAGCCUGGCCUGGGAAGUAGGCCAGCCCAGCCAGCCACCAGGCUGCCAGGCGCGCGCGCGCGCCAGGUUCGAACCUGACGAGCGGGCCCCUAGGGUCAGUGGCUGUGGCUGCGCGCGGGGGCUGCUCCAGGACGCCGACAGGUGGAGCCCACGUGCCGGGUUCUUCCCCUACCUUCGGCCAGGGAGGAGGAGAUGAACUCCGGCGAGGCUACCGUCGUCCUUGGGCCUAGCUAAGGGUAGGAAUGGGUUCAGCGUGCCUCCCCCUACCUGCAUAUGGUCAGGACAGCGCCAGAGAGGCUUGGAGUCGCCGGCGACGAUGUGGCCAUGGCGGAGGAGUUUUUGGGACGUGGUUGAACUAGUAGCUAGGGGCACGGAAUCGCUCAGGGCAGUUGGGGGAAAGGUUCCUGGUGUCGAGGGGAGUGCUCUGGUGGGUCGAGUGUCGCAGGAGUCGGCGUGUAGCCGGAGAUCGACCAGAGCUCCGAAGCGGAGGGGCCUCGGUCGAUCUCGAGCACCGGGGCUCUACGAGCUCGAUUGGGUGGCUAGGGAGGAGCUAGUGGUCAUGCAAAGGCUGCUGAAGGGGUGCUGAGGCGCCGGGGAGGCCUAUUUAUAGGCUCGCGACGGUGAGCGUGCAUAAUGAGGAGCUAGCAGCGAAACCAUGGUCUCCAGAUGUGGUUUCGGAUGCUCUGAAGCAUCGGUCGCAGAGGGAGAAGGUGUAUGGUCGAGCUGCGGUGUCUGUGCAUGCUCGACCGAGUCGGGUGCGCGCGGGCACGCGUCGCCCAAGCUUUAGCGCAGGAGAGGAGGGUCCCUGGCGGCUACUUUACACAGAGGGGUUGUCGGGGGAGGACUUGGACACUUCGGGGGAGGUUGGGACCGGCCGGGAGCGUCGUCCCCUUCUCGGGGGCUGCAUGUAGCGCGUCCAGAGCACAGUUUUGGCAUGCCACGGCAUGCUGCCGCGCUCUGGGGUACUUUAGACAUGUCCCUCAUAUCUUGGGUGUUGCUGGGAGUGUUUCUAGCCGUUGUAUGCUAGUGAGAGCACUGGCUGGUCAAGGGGGACAUGUUUCACUAGUGUUGCCAGCCCUGAUCUGUGGCAUAAAUUGGGGUUCUUGUCACUUGUGGUUUGAACUAGGGAGGGGCUAGUUGACUGGGCUUUCCAGCACAGUGGNNNNNNNNNNNNNNNNNNNNNNNNNNNNNNNNNNNNNNNNNNNNNNNNNNNNNNNNNNNNNNNNNNNNNNNNNNNNNNNNNNNNNNNNNNNNNNNNNNNNAAGAAAAAGAAGAAGAAGGAGAGAAGAAGAAAAAGAAGAAGAGAAGAANNNNNNGAAGAAGGAGAAGAAAGAGGAGNNNAGAAGAAGAAGGAGAACAAGGAGGGAUCCUUCUCCUUCUUCUCCUCCUUCUUCUUGUCUUCUUCUUCUCUUCUUCUUCUUAUUCCUUCUUUUCAUUUUUCCUAUUUCAAUUGAGCUUAUUAUGUUAUUUUGGAGCUAAAUUAGCUAAGUUAUGAAACUAGUGGUUUCACUAACCAUUUUUUCUAGUAGGAAUCAUGUAGGAGCUUAUUAUGUCAUUUUGAAGAAAACUUCCCACACUGGUCAUCAAGGAGGAGAAACACCACGUUUGCUCGCGUCGGCUUCGUUUGCAGACGGUUGCCAUGGAGAAGGGUCGUGCGGUGCCGCUCGGUAGUUAUUCUACAGAAAAGAUAUUUUGCAAUGUAUCAGUUAGCAUGAUGACACUCAAUUGUUAAUAUUAGUUUAUAAUGACCAUUGAAAUGAAACUCAUUGUGCCAAUCGUAGAGAAGAUGGCAUCGACGGAGGGGCUUGACCUGUCUUCUCACACAUAGACUUCACAUUCGGUUUUGAAGAGUUAGUCGUAUUAGUUAGUAAUGAAACAGACAUUACACACAUGAUUUGACUAAUGUAGAAAAGAAACUUACCACAAUAAGCUCGUACAUGGCCAGGUGAGCCGCCUCAUUCCGGGCCCUCUCCUCCUCAAUAAACCGAGCCGUGGUCCGGUCCCUCUCGUCAAGAGCAGCCUGAAGAGCAGUCUAGCUUGCCAAUCUCUAUUUCUCAAGAGGAGCCUGGUUUGCCGCUCUCUCUUUCUAAAGAGCAACCUGCAACACCAUUCCUUGUUACCACAGUAAUGAUCGAUGGCCACACACACAAUGAAAUGGAUGAAAGUUUCCUGGGUCCAUACAACUAACCUCGAUGGCAAGAUCGACUGGCUGUGGACGAGGCGUUAUCUCGGGACAGGAGCUCGACUGGCGCGCCUUGAUCUCCGGGUGAGUGAGUGGACAACGUAUUAUCCCAUAUCCAAUGGCUAUCGAGCCAUGGGGCCUCCUGCCACCAGAUAUCAUCACCAGCUCUGGAUAAAAAGGUUACUGGCUCGGGUUAAAGUCCUCCCCUUUCCAAGCCUUCCCCGUGUCCCUGUAUUUCAUGAGCUUGUGGUGGGAUGAGAUGUUGGUGAAGUUAUUUGGAUCAUCCAGGUCAGACUCAGAGAAUGCCUUCGCCUUCUUGUACGAGGCGGUAUGGGCCAUGCCAUAAAGGUCGUACAACUCUGGCAUCUCCGUCUUAUUGUGAUGCACCUAAAAGAGAGGAACAAAGUAUUAGUAAGGGGCUCAAAUCUAGCAUUAAGAAUGAAUAGCAUGAAUCGUGAAGCAAACCGCAUACCCAGUUUUGUCUGAACUGAAGUAAGUUGUGCUGCCUUGAUGGUGUGGCACACCAACCAUUUGGCUACGCCGAUCCUUCGCAUUGUCAUGGACGGCUCGCCAGUUGCCUGUGCACCACUCAUCCACCAACGCCUCCCAACAAUCCAUCUUAUCCGCACACCAUCUCGGGGGCACCUAUAAGUUAUGAGAAAGAAUUUUGAGCGCUACGCUUAUGAAUCAAAUCAAGAAAACUAUGUACAAGGCCUUAAGAAUAGGUAAUUACCUUCAUCUACUGCUCCUUCUUCAUAUACUUUCAGCGACACUCCUUCUUCUGCUUCUUAAUACCACGUGUGGCGUAAUAGUCUCGAAGGGCCUGCGGCCGAGCCUCGUGGUGUAAGUUCUGUAAUAACCGCCUACACUCGUCCUUGAUAACCUUGGCCGCCUCCUCCUCAUAUCCAUCCUCACACCUAUAGAAGGUCUGCAAUCAAACGAGACAACACCGAUUAGUACUAUAAUUAGCUACAUUGUUAAUUUUAGAUUGUGUAAAUGCAUAAUUUACCCAAAAGCUGUUAAUCACCAUCUCGGACCUCGUGUGGCACAAGAAACCAUCUAUAAUCUCAUCCGGCGGGGCCUGCGCGGCCUGGUAGUGCUCCCAGGUAAAUCCUAGUGUAGGAACGUGACCCUCACCAGGCAACGCGACAAACCCCGGGAAAUUUGUCCGGCAAAGCACACCAAGAACGUUGUCUGGCUUGCGGACUCCACCAGGGUGUUUCCAUCCUCUGCAGUAUGAUAAGGUCAACGCAUUGGAUAUUUGAAGAAACUUGAAGGCAGAAGCUAAAAAAAGAGUAAAUGUACUUACCUAUCCCCUUCAGGCCUAAUCACCGGCCUCUGCUCGUGAGUAGUCGGCGCGACCGAGAGACGUGUAAUACCAUGCUUGUACAAGGUGGCCCCGUCCACCUGCGCGUUGCCCUCACUAUCCGUAGACUCAUCCCCUCCAUCAACAGAACAGCCACGCGGACCCUCGGUCCAAUCCGGAACCUCGGUCCGAUCCGACCAGGCACCCCAUCCGGACGUCUCCACGUUGGUCGAAGCGUGUGUGGCAGGAGUCUCUUGGGACGUAGCCUCAGGAACCGGAGUCUCGUGGGCCGAAGGCACCUCGACCCAAGGCUGAUCCUGGACCUGAGUCUCAUGGGUCGAAUGCCCAUCCACCCGAGGCUCCUGUACUGGAAUCCCCGUAGCCUCCUCCGCAAAUGGGUCCACCAUAGUAGUCUUGUGCUCGGGUGAAUGAGCUGGUGGUGGUGGCAAGGAUGGCGCAACAGUCCGCCUCCCUCUUCCGCGGCCACCACCUCACCAUGUACCCUUCCCCUUCUUCCCUACCCGACCAGCACCUCUUUGAGUGGGCAAUGCCGCCGACGAACAAGCAACCGCGGGUGGUGUCGUCAGACUGUCUGCCAAGGCUCUACGGAGAGAUAGGGGUGGAAUGGAAGUACCACCCCUCGUGCGGGCCACCGAAGAAGAACCCGUCGAGCGAUCUGGACCCGCGCCCACCAUCUUUCAACACCUGCUGACCUGCCAUGAUAAAGAUUAAAAGAAAUUAGUACAACAUAAAAAAAUUGAAUAACUGACAUGAAUAAUAAUAUGUACAUAUAUAAUUUAAGUUGGAAAUCUUACAAACUAAUAAUCAUCAUCAAUAAAUGCAUCAUCAACAUCAAUGUCACGCAUGUCUUCAUGAAUGAUGUGCUCAUCGGAUUCAACGGCAUGAAGUUGUGGAAGGCCUUUCUAUAAUCAGUCAAGCAUUGAUAGGUCAUCUGCAUCAGUAACCUCUUCUAGCUCCAGCUCUACUGGUUCUGGUUCCGGCUCAUGUGUAUGGGUUAAUGUGAGGUUCAUAAUCCUAUUCAUUUGGGGGAGGUGGCUAACACGUGGCGACACUUCAUAAACAACAUACCAACCUUCUAGAUUCUUAUCAUUUUGGCAUUCCCACGGUAGAUAGAAAACUUGGGUCGCGUGUUGAGUCGUAAUAUAGACAUCGGGAACAUCUAUAUGGGUGUUUGGAUUGAUUUUGACUAGUCCUGUAUGUUCAUGAGUCCUUCUAGUCUCCUUCGGCUGGAAAAAAUAACAUUUGAAGACUACGAUGUUUGGUGGGUUUUCACCAUAGAAUUGAAGUUCAUAAAUUGCUUCAACUCUUCCAUAAUACUCGAUACCACCUUCGCCGAUAGCAGAGAAACAACAAUUUGUAGAUUACCGGUCGGGCAUAGAUAGCUCUUUGCCAAAGGUACGAAAGAGAUACCCGUUGAUGUUGUAUUUCUCAAAUGAACGGGCCUUAUAGUGAAAACCAUUAGCACCUUGUCUCAAUUUGGCGUCCAUAGACUCUGAAUUAGCCUACAAGUUUCAUACGAAACGGUUGUUGCAUUAGCCAAAAGUUCGACCAAGAAAUGAAAUGGUCCAUUAUUUAUAAUUACCGUUUGUUUGAACCAAGUGAUGAAACCGGGAUAGCUGCCUCCAUGCUUUGCCAGAAGCUCAUACUCUUCGACGGAAUCAUUUUGGAUCACCGCUCCAUCGGAGAAUUUGGCGACGUAUCAGCUAUAUGAAAUAUCCGGGAAUAAGAGCAAUUCAAAGGAAUUAGAAGUUACAGAAAAAUGUGCCGAGAACUUACUCGAUGUACAGCCGCACUUCUGUUAGGUUGUUGAAGAUAUACAACAAAAUGUUUCGCCAUUCUUCGACAUCCAACGUUAUUGGUUUCGAAGCACCGACUAGUGGGAGCUUCCCUUUGAAUAGGCUAAGUUUGGAUCCACCUUUUUUAGGGUCUGCAUCAUCGUACCAAGGCUUCGGAUUAUGCAAAUUAUGAUUUUUGGCUUCGUAAUGUGUUGUCACAAUGUUUGCCACCUCCUCAGUAAUGAAUGCCUCAGCCAUCGAUGCUUCAAUUCUAUGCUUAUUUUUAUAUUUAGCUCGAUGCGUCUUCUGCAUCCUCUCAGUUGCAUAGCAUCAACGAUUUUGCACGGGCCCACUCAAUCUUGCCUCGGUCGGUAGAUGUAAAAUCAAAUGAUGCAUUGGAUUAAAGAAGCCCGGCAGAAAGAUCUUCUCUAACUUGCACAACAACUCUGGUGCAAACUCCUCCAUGUCAUCUACCACUCCAGGCGACAAUUCUUUCGCACAAAGAACACGGAAGUAAUAGCUCAGCUCCGCUAGUACUAGCCAUUCAUCCUCAGGAAUAAAGCCACGUAACAUCACCAGCAUUACCCGCUCAAGCCAUAUGUGCCAAUCAUGACUCUUGAGACCAAAGAUUUUAAAUUUUUCAAGACUCGCUCCCCUCUUUAGAUUCGGUGCAUACCCAUCGGAGAACAUCAAGUGCAUUUUGACCCACAAGAUAAUUUCCCUCAUAGCUGGUCUUCCAAGAUUGAACCAGGCCUUUGGCUUCGACCACUUCUGCUUUGCUUUGCCUUCUCGCAUGUUUUGUAAUAGUUUGUGACAUAGUGUCUCUUGAUCGACUCUAGCCUUAGUAUUAUCCUUUGUUUUCCCAUCUAUGUCGAACAAUGUACCAAAAGUAGCCUCUCCGAUAUUCUUUUCAGUGUGCAUCAUGUCGAUAUUGUGUGGAAUAAGGAGGUCUUUGAAGUAAGGCAGAUCCCACAAGCAUGGCUUGUGUGUCCAAACGUGUUUUGAAUUAUACCCCUUGAAAUACCCUGGACGCUCUGGAUCAGGCUCGAGGGCGUUUAACUGAUCCAGGAUCUGUUGGCCUGUCAACGCAGGUGGUGCCAAGUUUUUGACAACUUUACCUUUGGUAAAGUUCUUCUUGUCUUUUCGGAACUAGUGGUCAGGAUCCAGGAACUGUCUAUGCAAGUCAAAGCAAGGAUACUUCUGACCCUCCUGCAACCAAUGAAACUGAAGAACUGCCUUGCAUGUGGGGUACGAGAACCUUCCAUGCACACACCAUCUAGAGAAUAGCGCCUACGCCGACAAGUCAUGCAUAGAGUACAUGUACCACACAUGCAUUUUCAAGUUUUCUUUUCUAUUGGCAUCGUAUAUCUUUUCCCCAUUAUCCCAAGAUUCUUGCAAUUCAUCCUUAAGCGUCUGCAUGUACACAUUCAUAUUCUUACCCAGAUAAUUGGCCCCUAGAAUUAUCAACGUCAGAAAUAUGUUCUUUCUUUGCAUUAUCUGCCCAGGGGGUUGCUUGAGUGGAAUGACAAAUACAGGCUAACUACUGUAUUGGGUUGCCGUCAUGCCGAAGCGAUUAAAACCAUCCGUGGUGAUGCAGACUCGAGGAUUCCUUGGAUCUACCGCUUUAUCCUGAUGCAAUCCAUCGAAAUGUUUCCAUGCUUCCCCAUACGAUGUGUGUACCGACAUAUUAUUCCCAUCCGCAUCUAGUUCGGUUCUUUUGCCAAUUUUGUGCCAUGUCAUCUGUUUGGAUGUCUCUUCGACUAUGAAAAGACGUUGAAACCUUGGUAUGAUUGGCAUAUACCGAAAAGCACUAACUGCGAUUUUGGUCUGCCUCUUCUCACUCAUACCGUUGUCUACCACAAUAUACAUGCAAGACUCGCAAUUGGGACAAUAGUCCAAGUGUGCAUACGCCUUCCUAAAUAAGACACAACCUUUCUAACAUGCAUCUAACUUCUCAUAGGGCAUCUUAAGUACACGAAGUAUUUUGUCCGACUGGUACAGGUUUGCAGGCAAGACAUAGCCUUUGGGUAGAAAGCAUCCAAAUACUAUCAUCAUCGCAUCGUAGCAUUCUCUUCCCAAGUUGAACUGAGCCUUCAGAGCCAUUACUUAUGCAAUGGCAUCCAGCUGACAAAGCUCAAGUGCUCGUGGAGAGGACGUUUUGAAGACUCCAACAUUUCAUAGAAGGCCUCUGCAGAUUCCUCCAUCUCAUCUUCUGAAUCCCGAGCAUCAUCAAAGUCUUGCACCAUGUCUUCGAUCCCGGUACCAUGCUCGUCGGUGCGAUGACGAACCACCUCAGCUCUGGUGCGUUGUAUAGACUCACCAUAAAAUGUCGAAACCGUAUAAUUAGGCUUAAAACCCCUCCUCUCCAGGUGUUUAAUCAUUACAGCCUCUGUCCUCUUUUUACAGUGGCCGCAUUCAAGACAAGGGCACCAGUUUGUUUCCUGGCCAUUUGCAAAUGUGGCUUUCACAAACUCCUUGGUUUUUAGAAACGAUUCUUUCGUGAUCUCUUUCUGACUAAGGUGACCGGUGUACAUCCACACAGGAUCACUCAUCUUGCCUAGUUACUAAACACACAAGAAAUAUAUUUAUAUAUAAUUCGGCAUAUAUAUUCAUCAGUUAAUCAAGUUCGCCAGUUUUAUUACGUCCACGCAACCUACACGCUAAUAGGUAAACAUAGGUCCUAAUACCACCCGACUAUGUGUAGAUGGGUUCAUUUUCCCCUGCUCUACUCUGGAUCCAACACAAAAUUUUGGCAGCACCUUCCCGCCGUUCUCCUGAUACACGUCUCCGCAAUAAACAGAGAGGAUGUGUAUCCAGAGAACAAAAGGGAGGCAUUGACGAAAAUAUGCAUCGGAUCCGGAAAAAAGAAAAUUGCAAAACGAGCGCAAUCAACACAUUGUCGGGCUAUCCAUGGAUAACGUUGGACAAUCAGAAGAAUCACGGUUAUAAAUAUAUGCAAAUGCAUGCAUAUUUAUAGCUGUAACCCUUUCGAACGGGAGACGCAUACUGGUCACGCAUAGUGAUAAAUUAAUUUAAUUACCUAUAUCUAGCAAGUUUCAUCCGAAGACCGACCCACAUCAAAUGAAGGGGCAAGGAGGAGAUGCCAUUUGUACUCACCCACGAAUGCAGGGGCGGAGCUCGUAGAACGGAGGUCUUCACACAACAGACCUCACAGCAACGAGACAACUGUCACAUGUAAAUCCACCCGAUCAACACAAAUAUUUUGUGUUCAUUAAUAAAAUCAAAAAAAUAUACGACCUAGCAUAAAUAUAUAACCUAUAUAGAUGUCAUCUAGGGUUCAAUAAAAAAAAUCGUGUCGGGGUGUCGUCGAGAUGUCGUAUCUAGGGGUCGUGUCGGGGUUUCGGGGCAUCGUGUCGUGUGUUAGGGGUGUCGUCCAGAUGUCGUGUUGGUGCGACAACUGCUAUUGCGAGUUGUUGUUGUAUCCUCGGUGCUGCAGUGGAAUAUCACCGGUGCCUCAAGGGGGUAGUCCCACCGGUAAUGUUUCUGCACCGACCUCAUGGGGGUGGUUGCAGUAGCAUCGUUGUUGCAGCCCGUGAGCUCAAUGGCGUCGUAGCCAUGGCAGGUGCAUGACAAGCUCACCGACGUUUCCUAACGUUGUGGCUAGUCCAAGAAUAGGCGGCGGCCGGGGGGCUCUACACGGGCUACUACUAACCUAACAACUAACCUAACGCACAUUAGGUAAUUAAAAACUAACCUAACAACUAACCUAAUUAACAGUAGGUAAUACCACUAACAACUAACCUAAUUAUCACUAACAACUAACAACUAACCUAACUAACCUAAUUACCAGUAGGUAACCACUAACAACUAACCUAACUAACCUAACUAACCUAACUAACAGUAGGUAAUUAACAACUAACCUAACUAACCUAAUUAACAAAUUAAACGAAAAAAGGAAAAAAAAUAAGGACUCACCGGAGGGGGCGGCCGGACGAUGAGGACGGCGCAGGGAAGACGACCGUAGAGGAGGAGGGGGCGCAGGGAGGAGGCGGUGCGCUGGGAGGAAGGGGUCGGCGUGGUGGAAGAGGGGCGACACGAUGGUGAAGGAGGGGGUCGUGGGGAGGAGGAGGGCGCGGCGGUGGAGGAGAGGGCGGUCGUGGCAGAGGGGCGGUCGUGGAGAAAGGGCGAGCUCCAGCGGCGGUGGUGGAGGAGUAGGUCCCAGGGAGGAGGAGGGGCAUGGUGGAGGAGGGGGCGCACGGAGGAGGAGGGCGUGGCGGCACAGGGAGGACGAGGGCGCGGCAGCGGUGGUGUUUUCGGGUUUGAGAGAGAGGGGUGGGUGGGGCGCGACGACCGUUAGGGGAGAGAGGCACUUGGGGGUGGGCGCGUCGGCCGUUAGGGCGCAUCCUCUUUGUCGUCUGCUCCCCGGCGGCACAGAGGAGAAAACCAGAUGGCAAAGAGAGGGGGUGCAGGGUGGGCCGCCCGUGCUCUUUGCCGUCGGCCUAAAUGCUCUUUGUCCUAAGCUAGCGAAAGACAAGGAGUUGGCUGAUGGCAAAUAGUAUAUUUGCCAUCAGCCAGCUCUUUGUCGUCUAGUUUUUGGUAGCUGAUGGCAAAGAGGGUCUUUUCCAUCAGCCAGCAGACGACGAAGAAGGAGCAGAUGGCCAAAUCUCUGAUUCCAGUAGUGUCCUCCUCCUCCUCCUUCUUCUUCUNNNUCUUCUUAUUCUUCCUCUUCCUCUUCUUAUUCUUCCUCUUCUUCUUCUUCUUCUUCUUCCUCUACUUCUUCCUCUUUCUCUUCUUCUUCUUCUNNNNNNNNNNCUUCUUCUUCUUCUUCCUCUUCCUCUUCUUCUUCUUCUUCUUCCUCUUCUUCUUCUUCUUGUUCUUCUUCUCCCUAUUCUUCUUCUCCCUCUUCUUCUUCUCCUUCUCCUACUUCUUCUUCUUCUNNNNNNNNNNNNUCUCCUUCUUCUUCUUAUUCUUCUUCUUUUUCUUGUUCUUGUUCUUCUUGUUCUUGUUCUUGUUCUUCUUCUUCUUCCUCCUCCUCCUCCUCAUCUUCUUCUUCUUCUCCUCCUCCUCCUUCUUCCAAUUCUUCAUCUUCUUCUUCUUCUNCUUCUUCUUAUUCUUAUUAUUAUUAUUAUUCUUNNNNNNNNNNNNNNNNNNNNNNNNNNNNNNNNNNNNNNNNNNNNNNNNNNNNNNNNNNNNNNNNNNNNNNNNNNNNNNNNNNNNNNNNNNNNNNNNNNNNAGAAGAAGAAGGAGGAGGAGGAGAAGAAGAAGAGGAGAAGGAGAAGGUGUCCUCCUCCUUCUUCUCCUUCUUCUUCUCUCCUCCUUCUUCUUCUNNNNNUUCUUCUCUUCUUCUUUUAUUCUUCUUUUCUUCUUCUUCUGCUCCUCCUUCUCCUUAUCCUUCUUCUUUUUCUNNNNNNNNNNNNNNNNNNNNNNNNNNNNNNNNNNNNNNNNNNNNNNNNNNNNNNNNNNNNNNNNNNNNNNNNNNNNNNNNNNNNNNNNNNNNNNNNNNNNNNNNNNNNNNNNNNNNNNNNNNNNNNNNNNNNNNNNNNNNNNNNNNNNNNNNNNNNNNNNNNNNNNNNNNNNNNNNNNNNNNNNNNNNNNNNNNNNNNNNNNNNNNNNNNNNNNNNNNNNNNNNNNNNNNNNNNNNNNNNNNNNNNNNNNNNNNNNNNNNNNNNNNNNNNNNNNNNNNNNNNNNNNNNNNNNNNNNNNNNNNNNNNNNNNNNNNNNNNNNNNNNNNNNNNNNNNNNNNNNNNNNNNNNNNNNNNNNNNNNNNNNNNNNNAAGAACCUUGGUUAGCACAUUAAUAUUAUAUACUUAGCUUGUUUGCCUCUAGAAUGACAUAAUUAGCCCAUUAAGCUCCAAAAAUACACUUAGCUAAUUUAGCUCCAAGAAGAGGAGAAGAGGAGAAAUGAAAAGAAUGAAGAAGAAGAAGAAGAGAAGAAGGAGAAGAACAAGAAGGAGGAGGAGAAGAAGAAGAGAAGAAGGAGAAGNNNNNNNNNNNNNNNNNNNNNNNNNNNNNNNNNNNNNNNNNNNNNNNNNNNNNNNNNNNNNNNNNNNNNNNNNNNNNNNNNNNNNNNNNNNNNNNNNNNNNNNNNNNNNNNNNNNNNNNNNNNNNNNNNNNNNNNNNNNNNNNNNNNNNNNNNNNNNNNNNNNNNNNNNNNNNNNNNNAGAAGGAGCCCUCCUUCUUUUUCUCCUUCUUCUUCCCUCCUCCUUCUUCUCGUUCUUCUUCUCUUCUUUUCUUUUUCUUCUUUUCUUCUUCUUCUCCUCCUCCUUCACCUUCUCCUUCUUCUUUGUCUUCGCCUUAUUCUCUACUUGCUNNNNNNNNNNNNNNNNNNNNNNNNNNNNNNNNNNNNNNNNNNNNNNNNNNNNNNNNNNNNNNNNNNNNNNNNNNNNNNNNNNNNNNNNNNNNNNNNNNNNGCAUGCAAGCUUUGCCAUGGAGUUUUGGAUGAAUUCAUUAUUUGGUUUUUCUCUCUUGUCUUCGUUAGUGUUACGGAUUGUUUUAUUAUUAUUAUUUUUACUUGCUGUUAUGUUUAUGUUGUGCUUAUUGUGUGAAUUGUUUGUCUCGUUAGAUCAUCCGGAGUGCGAGGCUUGCUAUUUAGAGUCACUAGAGUUUGAAGACCGUCAGCAAGGCAAGUUCACAUUGAUCAUGUAUUACCUAUGGUUUUUAUUGCAUUAGUUCAACUUGUUCCACCAUUGCAUGCAAAUUAGGUAAAUUGGAAACUUGGUUCUUGAGUAGUAUCAUAUGGUAGGCACCCCAGAAAUGCUUGUCACUUUGGCCCCGGGAAACAUUAUUUUGUUUUCCUAUGCUUUUAGUAGACGGGGUUUGGUUGAGUGUUUAUCAUGAGAGUUGUGAGACUUAAUUAAUGACCAAGACCUCAAGACUUCAAGCUUUUUCAAGAUCUCAUGAUGCAAUAUACCACUGGGUGGAAACUGGGUGAACGGCACCAUGGAGUACCGAGCGGUAGCCUAGGUGUUGCUGGAGAAGUGCCAGUAUUCAUGCGGAAAGUUCCACCCAGGCACGUAGAGAUGGAUGGAUACUUCAAGACCCGAGGCUUACCAGCAUAACCACAAGCCAUUAUGGGCUCUGGCUUGGUUGGACAUCGUGGCGACUUUGGACGGGCGGUGCUACGAGAUGUAGAAGAACGGUAGGAGUGGAUGGGCACCGACAGUGGCUCAGAGGAACCCGUUGGAAGACCAUGUUUUGAUGAUCCGGUUCUCAAACACCCUGCAGUGCGAGGACUUCAAUGGAGGUGAUCCAAUCUUGUGGGGAAAGUGUGCAGAACUCUGCAGAGUACCAAACCUAAUCGAUUAGCCAUGUCCAUAGUUACAGACAACUUGAGCCAAAAGAAAUGAAACUAUCAAUAAUUCUCGACACAAAUAAAUUUAAUGAUGUGGGAAUUAUUAUUUGGGUACGAGAAAUGGUUGGUGGAACCUUCUCAUUAAACAACCAACAUGUAGUAAUUAUUUUCGCUUUUGCCCCCUCUCUUGUUGUAGGAAAAAUUUGCUUUCCUCUAAAACUUACAACCCCACCUGCCAUAUAUGCAUAUAGUAUAGAUGAUAUUUUCACCCCUCUCUUUUGUGACUUGCUAGCAUAUUCAAUUUUUUUAUCUACACGGAUUCAACGUGUCAUGUUGUAGAGUACUUUUCCAAUCAGGAGUGAGGACACGAUCUACGCUCGGUGAUAUGCCCUUGGAGUCAGAUGGACCCUACUAUCUUUGAAGCUUCCGCUAGUUUUUGAUAAGUUUUAUCUCACGAGUUGGCCUUCAGCCACUUUAUUGUAAUCUUUAUUGUAAUAAAGGACUUGAUAUGAGAUAUCGAUUAAUAAAGCAGUGUGAUUGAACUCUCGAUAUAUACAUUGAUGUACUGUGUGUGUACCAGCAUGAUCUUGGGAUGGUACAGUAACAUCAGAGACUUGACUAUUUUAGGUCGGGUCGCUACAAGUCUGGUGUAAAUGGGUCUACAAUAUAAAGUAUGCCUCUAAUGGGAAUACAGAAAAGUAUAAAGCACAACUUGCGGCAAAAGGAUUUACAUAAAGAGAAGGGAUAGAUUACAAUGAGACAUUUUCCCCAGUCUCAUGUAAGGAUUCCUUCAGAAUCAGAAUGAAAUUAGUUGCACAUUUUGAUUUAGAGUUACAUCAAAUGGAUGUAAAGACGACAUUUCUUAAUGCGGAUUUACAAGAAAAUGUCCACAUGAGACAUACCAAGGGUUUUAUCAUGGAAGGCAAGGAACAUAUGGGAUGUUGCAUGAAGAAAUCCAUUUAUGGACUAAGACAAGCCUCUAGACAGUGGUGUCUAAAGUUCAAUGGGACAACUAAAAGAUUUGGAUUUAAAUAGAAUAUUGAGGAUACGUGUGUUUAUGCAAAGUUGAAAAAUGGAAAAUAUAUUUUCCUAAUCUUGUAUGUGGAUGAUAUCUUGCUUGCUAGCACUGAUGUUAGUCUGCUACAAGAAACAAAGAAGUUUUUGUCCUGAAAUUUUCAUAUAAAAGAUCUUGGUGAAGCAUCAUAUGUUUUGGGCAUUGAAAUUCACCAAGAUAGGAAAAAUGGAGUUUUAGGACUAUCACAGAAAGCAUAUUUAGAGAAGGUUCUCAAAAAGUAUAAUAUGCAUGCGAGUAAGGCCACACCUGCUCCUAUAGUCAACGGCGACAGUUUUGGGAAAUUCCAAUAUCUCAUGAACUAGUACGAGCUCGAUCAAAUGAAAGGAGUGCCAUAUACUUCAGAUGUUGGAAGUUUAGAGUAUGCACAAGUGUGCACUCGCCCUGACUUAGCUUUUAUCACCAUUAUACUCGGUAGUUAUCAAGAGAAUCUAGGCACACAACACUGGAAGAUGGUAAAUAAAGCACUGGAAGAUGCUAACAUAGAAAAGAUCUGAUUCCCAAGAGAUAAAAGGGUAUUCAGACGAAAAUUUUGCGGAAGACAAAGAUGAUAGAAGAUCCACGUCAGGAUACGUGUUCACUCUCACUGGAGGGGUUAUUUUGUGGAAAACAUCCAAACAGUCCAUAAUUGCAUCGUCAAUGAUGCAAGCAGUGUUCAUAGCAUGUUUUGAGGCCACGAGGCAGGUGAUAUGGUUCAAGAAAUUUAUACCCGACUUGAAAGUGGUAGAUUCUAUUUACAAACCACUAAAUAUGUACUAUGACAACCAGCCUGCAGUAUUCUAUGCUCACAACAACAAGUCAAGUAAUGCUACCAAAACAGUAGAUAUAAAGUAUUAUGUUGUGAAAGAUAAAAUCUAGGAUCACACUAUAAGUCUCGAGCAUAUAAGGACAAAGAAUAUACUUGCAGAUAUGCUAACGAAAGGCUUACCACCCAAUGUGUUCAAGGAACACUUAGCCGACAUGAGUUUAAGGGAAAGCCUAUGAUUCCUGAAUCAUGAUAGGCCCAAAAAGAAAAGAAUUUGUUUUGAAAGAGAGAGUUAUGUUGUAGCUGUCUGAUUCUAUCGGCAGUUGAGCUGUGACGAUGAAACAUGCUCUAUGUACUAAUAGUUGAUGAAACAAGUAAAGUAUAAAGUUAAAAAGUAAAGUUGAGAUCAAGGGGGAGAAUGUGAGGUUGAUCUCUUCCCGUGUGGGCCCAUCGACCCACUAGACCCUUGACUCGCUCCCUUAUCAGGGGCGUCCAACCAAAGUAUGGUUGGUGGCCCCGUGUCGCCGCGCUAUAUAACGAGGAGGGGUGCCGGAUGCACACGGUACGAGGUUCACCGUGCGCUGCAGCCCCCACCAACAAUCCCUACCGAUCUAGGGUUAGCGUAGGCCGACGGGAAGCACCACCGCUGCCACCACUUCGCCCACUCUCUGUCAUCACCACUGUCGCCAUCAACCAUGGCGUCAGGCUCAGGAUCCUCGAGCCAAGGAGAUGGUAUAACCCAUCUCCUACUCUCUACUACCACAUACCUUCAACCCAUCUGAUCCAAAGGAUCUAUCAGCUGGAUGUCUUCGACCGCCGGUGGGACGGCACGGGAACGUAAGGCAUCGACCCCGUCACUAAGCCGCUAGGCUCUGGGGCGGCAAGGGUGGCAUUAGCCUUAGGAGAACACCGAAUCCCCGGUAGAGCAUCCAUGGGGAGCUCCGGAAAUUGGUUGGCGCUAGCUGUCGAGGGCAGGCGUGGAGUGGAAACAGAAGCGGUGGUGGAGGAGCUCGAGGUUGGCGAAGCCUCUUUAAGGAGACGAACUAAGCAAGCAUGCUCGACAUGCCCCACGCGCUUGCAGGUGUUGCAUAUUUGAGGGUCUGUGCACUCGAACAACUUAUCCCACGGGGUGAGGCAUCCAUACCAGCAGUUCCCAAAUCGUAUCUUGAAUGACAUGGACGCAGUGCGCACAUGUCUCUCAUGUCGCCUCUGUAUCGUAUCCCUUGGAGGCUAUGGUGGGUGAUUUGACUCGCGCCCCGCCACACGCUGAGCACACCGAGAUGUGGCCGUCGUCCAUGGAAUGCCCUCUUGAUCUCUCGCACAGGCCGGGGCACUCGAAGUAGCAGCAUGGUGAAUCACGGUGUCCGGAUCCGCUAGAUUACACUAGUAGAGAAAAACUUAUACAUGAAGGCUUAUGAGUAGCACGCCUUUGUUCAGGGCUACUUUUACUUCGUACUAGCGGUUGGUAAACACAAGCGCUACAAGUAGUUCUGUAGUAGCAGCGCGGGGAGGCAUGCCGAUGCUACUGCUAAGGGGUCCUAUGUUCAUCCACCGGGGCUAACCCUAGCACUAGCGCCGAGCCACCGACACGCGCUACUGCUAUGGUUCAUAACUGUAGCGCCGUGUCAUAACCCGCACUACUACUAGUGUCACCUUAUCCACACCCCUGCAUGCCCGUUCCCAUUUCUCUUACCCCCCUCUCACACUCUUACUCCCGUCGCCGCUGUCAACGCCCUCGCCCACCGCACCACCAUCACUCCCAAGGUAUCUCCCUCCCUCCUCCUCCUGCUGCCACCCUCACCCACCACAUCCACCGUCACUCCCUAGGUAUCUCCCUCCCUCCUUCUCUUACCGCCCUCCGCUCUCCUCCCUUCUCUCUACCUUCUCCUUCUUCCCACAACCCUCCUCGCCCCCUCCUCUGAUGAGCCUCCUCCCUCAUCUCUCCUCCUCCGACCGCCCUCCUCCCUCCUAUUCUUUAGUAAAAAAAUAUAUUGGACAUGUGUUGGACAGAAAAUACCUUUAUAGAAAUAUGCAAAUAUUGGACAUGUAGAUGUAGUAGUAUAGUAUAUGUAGUAGUAGAUGUAGAUGUAGUAGUAAUUUCUAGUUUCUAGUUUCUAGUUUCUAGUUUAUCUAAUUAGUUUAUAGUUUCUAAUUUACUCAAUUAGUUAAAAAAUAGUUGGUAGAAAAAUGUAUUCAACACUUUAAUUUAACUAGUAGUAGAAUAUGAUGUAAUUUUAAACGAUGAUGGUCCUAAUUGUCUUUUAGAAUGGUUUGAACAUGUGAAGAAAUGAAAAUGAAAAUGAAAUUAAAACCUCUGGGUGGCCUAUGUUUUCCUGAAAUGUUGAUUCGUUUACGUUCCGGUAAAUUUCAGAUGCUCGAAAUGUUCUGUUUUUAGAAAAGGUUAUGUCGAAAUUUUGUGAGAAUAUGAAUUAGAUGUCAUUUUGGCAAAAUAUAGGCCACCUAGAGGUUUCAUUUUCAUUUUCAUUUUCUCAUUUUCAUUAUCAUUUUCACAUUUUCAUUAUCAUUUUCCACUCGGAUGAGUAAUGGUUGUAGGGUUGACUUUUACUCUGUCGAAGCUCCUUAUCGGAGGAAGAAUCCCGACUAUUGUCGUGGGGGCCGCUUCCUCCUUCGUUCCUGUGUGCUAGAAAUUUUGGUAAUGCAUGCGAGAACAAAGGGAGGAGCGGUCAUCACCGAUGGUCGAAAUAAUGGUGUGAGGUUGUGUCCACCAACAUACACAAACAUAUCGGUGUGAGAGAGUGUGCACCAUAUACACCAUGAGACAUUAGAGUUUUAUAGGAAGCCUCGACAAACCGAAACUCAACCAAUGCUGAUUUUUCAUAUACACCACCAUAUCAGUGUGAGAGAGUGUGCACCAAUAGUUGUCGUCGAUUUUCAAUCUUUGAAUCAUGAAUACAGGAGAUGACGUCUGACAACGAGGGGAUCCCUCAGUGUGAUUAUUGUAGUGAAGAUCGAGGUCUGUGCGAUAUGCCUCACGUGUGAAACGGCAGGUUCUUCACCAUAAAGCUUGAUGAGACCUUUGAUGUUUUUAUGAUACACAAUGAUGACACUAUUUUUUCUUCUUUGCGUCAUGUUUCUUUGCUUCAACGUGUAAUUUCUGUUUUUACAAUUCAACUAGUGCAUCCCUUGUCCUGCAAGACGGUAUGUCUUGGAGAAGCUUGGUUUUCAAGAAAUGGAGAAUAUGAAGAUGAGGAGAGCUCACGUGAGGACUAAACAUAGUUUCACAUUUCUGUUUAAAUUAUACAAUGUACUUAAUCACUCACAUUUUGGUUGCUCAAAUUGGGAAGCUCUAGGCAAGGCAUAUGGAUUUUACGAGGAUACGAAAAUAACCUUUGAUGUUCGUCCUGAAUAUGGUAUUGAAGGUAAUAUCGAUAUUUGGGUGGAUGUCAAUAUGCUUCCAAUUUUACCUCUAUGUGAGUUUGACAACCAUAUUUGUUAACUAAUUUGCAUUGUUUAUUUAGAAAUAUUUGAUGUUCAUCCCUACUUAACUUACUCAAUUUUAAUUGACAACUUAUUUUUCUUCUUAAAAAAAACUCAAAAGACAAUAGACAUGAUCUACUACAGUCGUGGCUCCAAUCUAACUUGGUUGGAGAAAAAUCAUUUCAUAUCAUUUGUUAAUGAUGUUGAUGAUUGUAAGAACAAACAUGAAGAUAUUGGCGAAAGUUAUUCUAAAUACGUGCCAUUAGUGCGCGACUUGAACCCUAAUAAUUUCCAUUUAGAUAGCAUGGUAAGAUUAUUUUUUCCUAUUGUGUCAUUUAAUUAGUCCAUCUUUUGCAUACAUAAUUUUUUCUUAAGCAAAACUAGAUUGCGAACUAUGUUAUUAUUAUAUUCUUCAACAUAUAUACUCACCAGAGGUUGUGCGUGAACUGAUGACUAUAGAAGGUCGUCAUUUGAAUGUUAUCAGGUUACGACCACGAUGUACUAUAUGUUUUCUCUAUGCAUACUCACUUUCUAGAAGGGAUGGAAGCCUGAAACUUAAAGGAUUUGACAAUUUAAUGAAAACCCGUCGGCAACUACUUGACGGAGACGCGAAGGAUUUGUGCAUGCCACAUGUUGGAGACAGGUGGAUCUUUAUUUAAUUAAAAGCUUACUUUUUAUGCUAUUUUAUCUAGUAAAGAAUAGUAAGUUCUACCUGGGAGAGAAUAAUAUGUUCUAUCUAAGAUAGAUGACUUUUUUUGUUUAUGACAUUAUGUACUAAUGAUUAGAUGAUCAAGAUGAAGAUAAAUUGUUAGAUGAUUAAGAUGACGAUCAAGAUGAUGAUAAGUUGUUAGAUGAUUGAAAGGAUGAUAAGUUCUUAGAUGAUUAAGAGGAUGCUGAGUUAUUAAAUGAUUAAUAGGAUGAUAAGUUAUAUGACAUAAAUUAAAUUAAAUUGGAUGGAUGCAAGUGAUAAAGUUGAAUUAGAGGAAAAUAUGAUGUUGUGNNNNNNNNNNNNNNNNNNNNNNNNNNNNNNNNNNNNNNNNNNNNNNNNNNNNNNNNNNNNNNNNNNNNNNNNNNNNNNNNNNNNNNNNNNNNNNNNNNNNNNNNNNNNNNNNNNNNNNNNNNNNNNNNNNNNNNNNNNNNNNNNNNNNNNNNNNNNNNNNNNNNNNNNNNNNNNNNNNNNNNNNNNNNNNCACAACAUCAUAUUUUCCCUUUAUAACCCAACUUGAUCACUUGCACCCUACCUUUUGCCCCCUAAGCUCCAUAGUUGUUCCAAGAUCCAUUUUAGCUCGAUCUCUCUCCCUAGCCAAGAAAACUUGUUGAUAUUCUAGUGUUUGGUUGAUAGGGCCUUGAUCUACACUUCCACCAAGAGAAAUGUGACCCCCCCCCCACGAAUCCCUUGCGGAUCUUGUUACUCUUGGGUGUUUGAGCACCCUAGACAGUUGAGGUCACCUCAAUGCCAUAUUCCACUGUGGUGAAGCCUCAUGGUCUGGUUGGGAGCCUCCAAUUAAGUUGUGGAGAUUGCCCCAACCUUUUUUUGUAAUGGUUCGAUCGCCGCCUUCAAGGGCACCACUUAGUGGAAUCACGACACCUUGCAUUAUGUGAGGGCGUGAGGAGAAUACGGUGGCCUUAGUGGCAUCUUGGGGAGCAUUGUGCCUCCACACUGCUUCAAUGGAUACAUACUUCCCCUCAAAGGGAAGGAACUUCGGAAACACAUCCUCGUCUUCAUCGGUUCCACUUUUGGUUAAUUAUUACCUUUAUUUGUAUUUACUUCUUGCUUAUUAUUGUUGUUGUUACAAUCAUAUAGGUUGCUCACGCAGAUGCAUAUCUAGACAAGCUAUUUGUUGCUAAACCUAAUUUUUUAAAUAAAAUUUUAAAAUUUGUUAGUUGCCUAUUCACCCGCCUCUAGUCAACCAUAUCGAUCCUUUCAAUUGUAUUAGAGCUUCGUCUCUUUAUUAAGGGUUUCAAAAACCCAAAUAGUAUGGUUGACGACGGGGACCGGGUCGGGGAGGUGCGCGAGGGAGCUGCGGCAAACUAGGUCACUCGAGAGGAACUAAAUGAGGUUAUGUCCACAUUUAAAUCCUCAGUGGCUAUCAAAGUCAAGAACACGCUUAAGGAUUUCAUUGAUAUUUAUAAACCGCAUACCGACCCAUUGUUGGUGGCUAAUACCACAACCUCAAAUACGGGGAUCAAUUCCGAAAAGGAAAAUGCUAGUAGUGAAAACGAUAAAACGUCUCAAGGAACUAUUUGGGCAAAUGCCUUUGCCUCGGUUCCUUCUCCCAUGGCCUAUAAAGGACCGGUCCACCCACCACAUAUUAUUAAUCUUGGUCCUCCACCAAAGCUUCUUAAGAAUGAUUUUGCUAACUGGGUUUUUUGUAUCAAGUAUCAUUCGAACCAGAGCUCAACACAACUUUGGAGAAACAUUGAGCAGGGUACUACUCACAUGUUCCAAGAAACCUCAUGCCAAAAGAAGAGUCCGACAAUCAGCUCAAUCACUCCGCCUUGUUCAUUCUUCAAGCAGCUGCACCUGUUGAAGACCUUCCUCACUUGCGUCUCGUCACUCGUGCCAAAGAUUGUUGGGAUCACAUCAUCUACAUGUACAAGGGAAGCUCUAGCAUUCAACGGUUCAACUAUGAAGUGGUUCUUGAUGAGGACGAUGAAUUUCCUAUGGUCGAGGAUGAGCACCCUCGUGAACUAUAUCAAAGAGUUACAACUCUUGUUGCUGGUCCUUAGGAUCAUAGAAGCAAAUAUGUGGAUGAAACUUGGAUUAAGCGUAAGUUUCUCAAGGCCAUCAUGCCUUUCAACAAGUCCAUGUCCUCUGUCAUCUGUCAAAGGACGGACUUUCAUUUCCUGUCCUCAAGUGAUGAGUUGGAUUAGUUUAUCGCCAUGAAUAUUUUGAAAAGACCGCUGACAAUGCUCUAGGCUGAGUUCAGUGGUCAAGAAAAGACUACCCCAAACUUGCUUUGAAGGCCAAGUCUGCUUUGGAGGAAGAUGAGGAAGACGAAGAAGAAACUUGUCCUCAAGACACCAAGUAUGCUUACCAUGAGCACAUGACUCUUGCAUCAAGGCAGAUUUGGGGAAACAUGAAAAACUCAAGGCCCAACUUCUCCAAGAACAACUCAAAUGGGUCCAAGGGAAAGCAACACGUGAGAAGUUGCUACAUUUUGGCAAUGUGAGUCACUUUCUAGUAGAUUGUCCCUAUGAGCAGAGGGAAGACAAUGGUGGCAAGCUCGUUUGUAAAGACAAGACCAAGUCCUUCCCAAAUAAGAACAACUUCCCCAAGAAGAUGCCCCAAAAGGUGUUGGUGGCUCACGAAGAGUAUCUGUCCGAUGAGGAUGAUGAUAAUGAGACAAGUGGUGAAGCGAUGGGAAUGGCCAUGGUGGCCAUUGCAUCCCCUUCUACAAGCUAGGUCUCUCUCUUCAAGGCCCCCAAUGAGAACCGCAUUGCCAAGUGGCUCAGGGCGAAGGAAUCCAACAAGAUAACCUCUAACACUCAAACUACCAACAUCAAAGCUACCAUUUUCUCUACCAUGGAUAACAGAGAUGAAAAAGAAGAGGUAGAGGUGGAGGAAAACUCCUUUGAUAAAUUAAUGGGAAAACUCAUGGAUAAAUCCAAGAAGCAUUUUGUUGAUCUCUUGGAACAACUCAGAGAGGAUAAUGCCCUCACUGAAUCUCAUGAAGAAACUAUCUCUACAUUACAUGGUCAUAGUCGUGACUAUGCCGAUGAGAUUGCGGAUCUUUCUAUUUCUCUUGAAGAAGAGCAAGGACUUCGUCUAACUCUUUAGGAGUCACAUAACGAUGACCUUGCUAAGUGAAAGAAAGAUCUUGAUCGUGCUCUUGUUCUUACCCGUGUGCUUCAAUCCGAAAAGAGUGCACUUGGCCUUUAUCAUGUCACACUAAAGAGCUUACAACACUUGACAAGGCUCACAAGGCCUUGAAGAGUGUUCAUGUCUCUUUAAAAGAGUCUUGUGCUCAACUCCAAAUAAAACUCACUAAGGAAAUAUCCACUUGCUCUCCAUUUGUUUUAAUUAAUAAUGUCCAUGCUACUAACCCCUAUUGUGAGCAUGCACAUCUUGUGGAGGAGAACUCCAAAUUAAAAGAGGAGCUUGAGAAAGGCUUUGUGGCAUGCAUCCAAGGUGAAAACAAUAUUAAUGGCCUUUUGAGUAGUCAAAACGAAGUGGUUGCAAAGGAAGGAGUUGGGUUUGCACCCAAGUCCAAGAAUAACAACAACAAGAAGAAGACCAAGAAACCUCCCCAGCUUAUGGAAACCUUUUUUAAAUCUGGGGAGGGUACUCAUGAGGAGAAAAAGGACCAAGCUAAGGGUGGUAAUGCCAUGAAGGGCAAUACCCUGUGCCUAACACAGCUGGCGACUUUAACCCCUCUUAUGUUUUGUGUCAUGCUAGUGAUGGGAAUGUUUUUGCUAAGUUUGUUGGUUCUUAUGAACAGUACAUUGAAUGGUCUAUUUGGUUUCCUAAGACCCUUGUUACUAACCUGAGAGAACCCAUUAAAGAAUGGGUACCUAGAUCCAAGCGUUGAUCUUAUACAUGAGUUUGCUUCUGGUGGGGUGUCCUAGUUGCUUGAUAGUGGGGCAACAAAUCAUAUGACAGGAAGCAAGGACUUGGUGGUGAACGUUCAUCCCGACCCAUCCAUUGCCACCCAAGUCUCCUUUGGUGAUGAUGCGAUUUCAAAGGUAUUGGGUCUUGGCAAGGUCGUAAUUUCUAUGGAACUUACCAUUGAAAAGGUUAUGCUUGUUGAGACCCUCGCGUACAAUUUAUAUCCAUUCAUCAACUUGCACUUAUGGGUUUUAGUACCUUAUUUGGCACUGACUGUGUGGCCCUUUUGUGGAGCAAGACUCUUAAAGCAUCCUUUGUUGGGCAUGUCGAGAAUGGUCUCUAUAUGGUUAACUUUUCGGAGCGACCCACGAAGAGCGCGACUUACCUAAUGGCUAAAGUUGAUGUGGGAUGGAUUUGUCAUUGCCGGAUAGCUCAUGCCAAUAUGAGAUAUUUGCAAAGUCUCCUCAAAGGGGAUCACACUCUUGGACUAACAAAUGUGAGUUUUGCGAGAGAUCAUGCUUGAAGUAUGUGUAUUGAAGGAAAGAUUCAUGAGACAGCUCACCGCCUCAUGACUACCAUCUACUCAAAAAGGACCUUGGAGCUCCUCCACAUGGAUCUCUUUGGUCCUCCAUCCUAUGCUAGUAUUGGGGGAAGAAAGUAUUGCUUGGUGAUAGUGGAUGAUUACUCGAGAUAUACCUGAGUACAUUUUUUCAAGAGAAAGAGUGAGACUCAACAAACCGUCAUCCACUUUGCUAAUGAAGCUCAACGCCAACAUAAUGCAAAGAUAUUGAGGAUCAGAAGUGACAAUGGCAUCGAGUUCAAGAAUUUCACCCUUAAUGAAUUUCUAAGUGAUGAAGGAAUCAAGCAUCAAUACUCUGGACCUUACACUCCUCAAAAAAAUGGUGUGGCAGAAAGGAAGAACCGGAUGUUGAUGGAUGCAGCAAGUACCAUGAUGGCGGAGUUUAAAUCUCCGUAUAACUUUUGGGCCGAAGCCAUCAACACCGCAUGCCAUGGAUCCAAUCAGCUCUACCUUCGUAAAGGCUUGAACAAGACUCCAUAUGAAAUUCGUACCUGAAAUAGGCCCAACCUCAAGUACUUCCGGUUGUUUGGCUGUAAGUGUUUCAUUCUUAAGAAAGGUGCUUGAUUGUCUAAAUUUGAAUCUAGAGCUCAAGAGGGCAUAUUUGUUGGUUAUGCUACAAAUUCCUGCGCUUACCGUGUCCUCAACAAGUCCCCAGGACUCAUUGAGAAGACAUGUAACAUGGAGUUUGAUGAGAAUAAUGGCUCCCAAGUGGAGCAAAGUGGUCUUUGUGAUGUAGGUGAUGAAAUUCUUCCUCAAGCCUUAAGAAGAAUGGGCGUGCGACACUUCCUCCCUGUUGAGGAACCCCUUGUGGCUGAAGGAGAAGGACAAUGUUCGACUCAUGUGGAACCAUCACUAGCGCAACAAGACCCAUAGCUUCUGAAGAACACUCUGAAGGCCCUCAACACUGUGAUCUUGAUCAAGGAGAAGAUCAAGCUCAUGAUGGUUUUGCUCCAAGCGAUGUCCUUGAUCAAGCUCACCCCUCUGAGGUUCCUUAAGAUCAAGAUCAAGCUCAAGAUCAAUACCUAGUCCAAGAUCAAGAGCAAGCUCAAGAACAAAACCCAGCUCAAGAUCAAGGGCAAACUCGCAAAGGCGGUAAAGGCCUCAAACAGGUCCAUUAGCUUACCCCUAAGGAAAUUCAAGGAAGACAUGCGGCCAAGAAUGCCAAGACACUCAAAAAUAAUUCCGAUAUCUUGGAAAAUGUCUACGACAACUUACAGAGGGGUAAACACUCAUCGUCAAUUAUGAAACUUUAGUGCCCAUCAUUCGUUCGUUUCUUGUAUAGAACCACUAAAGGUGCAAGAGGCUCUCGAAGACAUGGAUAGAAUAGGGGGUCCGUCCAACCAGACAUCGCCGAAACCUCCAUCUUUUACUUAAGCUGAGUCCACAGAAGAGGUUCCAUUGCAAAGCGAGAUCCAAGGGUUCGGGUACUAUGAGCAUCACAGCCUCAGGAUUCGCUCGGUGGAUCACCUGCGAGAUGUUAUUUUGUUGGAUUGGGCCACUACGGAGAUGAACUUGUCUGAAAAUCAAGCUCGACAAUGCCUAUUUCCCAAGAGCGAAUGUGAUUCUGCAGGAUUUUUAUAUAGGCGAAAAGGAAUGACAUUCAUUAUGAGGGACCAGGUUAUAGAGCUUUUUAGUAAGGGCAUGAGAACCUGUGAAUAGAGGAACACGAUACGGAUACGCAAUGGUGACUGCAGAAGCUCUUUCGACUGAAAUCCACCCUCACCAGUCGUCUCCUCCCCUUCAUAUGUGCUCGUGCUCCCUAGAAUAAUGGCUUGCAAGCUCCAAACGGGAAGUCAAUGAGGUAAUAGGGAAAAGGAACCGCCUACUUGCCACGAAUAAUGCAUCUCUUUUUGCCACUCUUGAUAGAUCUUAUACAAGAUGCCGACUCAUCCCCUUGCUUAGACAUGUCGAAGCCACUCCUCAUACCGGUAGUUCAGCUCUUGUUAUUCUUUCUAGAUCCGUGCAAGCGAAGCGGUUUGAUCAAUGAAAAGAAAACAUCGUGAUAUUGUGAUGCUUGGGUCCCCUCCCCACUAUAGGCACUGUCCCCGCCCUUGUUGCGUCUCAGGAUCCGCUAUCAGCAGAACUUGUCAAUCCGAUGCUGAAUGCACCCAUAUUCCAGAGGGUCAGUAGCUUGCUAUUGUCCGCCACUGAAACCCAUUAUUAUUCAAAGAUGAAUCAAUUGAUGGUGUGCCCGGAAGCGACAACAGAUAGACGGAGGAAGGCGCUUGCGACAUAGGUGGUAGUGAGUGGGAAGUGCUGCUAUGUUCAGCCAUGCUUUCCCCUCUUGACCCAGAGCCUCCAUGUGUAACCUCCGAUCGAAAUGAAAUCACAAUAGUUCUUCAACAUUUAGACAAUGAUAUAGCUAGUGGCAAAGUAAAGGAAAAUCGCAUUGCUUAGGGCUCGAGAUGGAUAAGAUAGGCAGUCGCACCGUUACUCAUACAAGGCUAUGGCUCCACUCAUGUUUGUUGAUCCAGUUGCCCAUUUCACCCAGAAAACUUCCAUAUUCCACUUUAUUUUUAGAUAGAAAAGAAUUCGAACCAAUGAAUUCAUUCCAGAGAAGCAUUCCUGUAAGUUUAGUGCUCCUCCCCAGCACCAGUAUCCCAUCGAUUGGAUACCCUGAGAGCACUCUGCACUGAUUGAGAGUAUGAGUAUAGGUGUUUUGAAAGUCGAGAGGAAACUGUCAAGAACCUGACAGUAGCGCUUGCUAAUCACAGUUCUGGAUCCGGGGCAAGCAUGGGACUGUCUGAAACAUAGGCAGAAUUGGCUGUUUUUCUCCAAUUUUAAGCAACUGCUACGCUAAAAAUAAUAAGAUGGUUCUAGGGGCAGCCUCGCCUAAUAACUCAUAAUAUAAAUGCGCUUAUGUCUGCGUCAAGGCCAUAGAAGCAGCAGUAUCGAAGUCGUCUAGUCUCUGAAUUAAAACAACAGCUCGAAUUUGCCUACUAAGUAAGACCUUCACCUCAAUAAAUAUAGUAGUUAAGGUAGUGAAGAAUGUAGGACCCAAAUCUGGCCUAUAAGCUAACAUGUGGUGCAUUGCAGCUUCCUCCACAAACGUUGGAUUACUUAAUGCACAAUGGCAAAACGGGAUGAAGAAUGUGCAAAUCUGGGGGACAUAAUAGGGGCUUUGUUUCAUCAUAGGGGUGAUCCAGAGAGCACCAGUCUAAGCCUACUGUUCUAAAUAAAUCUAUCUUGCAACGUUCAUUCAAUUUUGGAUCAUGUCAACGAGCAUUCGCCUCAGCUAUGGUACCAAAUCUGCUAUCGUUUCUGAGAAGUUUCAUUCCAGUCCCCGAUCGAAUCCAAUUGAGUGACUCCUGAAGCCAACCAACUCUUUUUCGAUAUUGUGAAUUCCUUAACUUUUUACUGGCUUGCUUGUUUGUAAGCUCCACGGGCGUGCCAAUUCCUUAGUGGGAUCCAACCACCAUUUACUUUCAUUCGAUCCAGCGGAGAAGAUGCGAUUAUGUAUCAUUUCGCCUAAGGCCAGACAGACUAAAAGGGGCUUUUGGAUACUAAGAAGGUUUUCACGUCUUGCUUUGGGUGGUAUGCUUCCUCACUGUUGCUAUUCUGCCCUUUCCCGGUAGUCAACCACCAACGAACGUAGGCUAGGACCUGCAUGUAAUGUUACAGCCUUGCCAAUACUCUACAGUCGUUACAUCAACAUGGGAUUGCAAAAGGGAGGGAAUUGAAAAAGGCGACUCCUCCUUAGUAGGAAUAGUAGCUGAGGCUGCUUCAACUCAUAACGAAGCUAUUCCAGCACAUAAGUCCGGGAUGAUCUGAGGUCGCUGGUCUCACAUGGAAGAGAUACGAACCUCCGCUGGAUAAACACCUCUUCUGGUAUCGGCUUCUUUUGUUCGUAACGAACAAGCAACGGAUUGGGGAUUGCCAAUAGAAAAAGAUACAACCAACCUUGUCUUUUGGAAACCUGGAUCACCCCCAUUGUAAAGAGAACACGGCACCCCUUUCCGUAGGGGCUCGCAAAGGUAUUAUACUGGAUGUGUGCAGAGAGCUAAUGAAACUCCAUUCCUUUUUAUCUAUACUCAACGAUCUGCUAUAGCUUGCUUUUCCAUAGCCAACGUAUUGACCUGAUUCCCCAGGAAAGAGUUGAUGGCAUCUCAACGCAAGAAGGUAGAGAAGAAUCCCUAGCGCAGAUGUGCCGAGAGCGGGAAAGCCUGUCUUCCCCGAGAAGACAGUCUUCCUCUUAUUUCUUAUAUGAAUAACUGAAAUCAAUCCUCACUUGUAUUAACUUCAUGAGUGAAGAGAUAGAGAAACCCUCAAUACCGGCACUGCUCCUAUCAAAAUCAAAUAAUUGGAUUUGUUUCCCCACUUCCUCCACGGGAUUCGUACAUCGGAUGAGGAUUCCUACAACGGUACAACGGAUCAAUCCAUUCAAAUCAAUGAAACCAUUAGGUACGCCCCGGGAUCUACUCUAUUUUGAGAUUUGCUAAUGCCGAGAGACUAUCGAAAGCAAAGCGAAGGUUGUUAUUCCAUAGUUGUUGCCGGUAAAGGAACAGCUGAACGGGUAUCUUUUGCAAAGCAAAGGCUUUGGUUGAAUCGUAUUGAGUUCCGGGUAGUAGAGUCCUCGGCUUCGAUUCUUUCCAACAACGGUACGGUUGACUUUCGAACAACGGCCACGGUGUAGGUUCGUACUCGAUUGAUCGGCUUCCUUCCUAUUAGCUUGCCAUGUUUCCCCAAUCUGUUUGCUUUCACCAAUUUAGGUGCCACAAAUGUUUCCUUUUCCAGACAGUUUGCUUUAAGCAGGAAAGCUGGCCUGUGACUUGCCUUGCUUCCGACUCUAAACCGUUCUAAACAGAUUCUUUCUGCAUACUGAUGUUGGCAGUUAUGCCUAGGUGAUAGAUGUAUGUUGCUGGAUUGGAAAGCUAUACGAUCCCUAUUAUUCAAUUAUGACAGCUGAGAGGAAUUGGGGAUGGCCCCGCUAGAGUUUCCAAAAUGAAUCGAAUUGAACCCUAUUGUUUUUUCACUAAAAAUUCCAUAGUAUCAAUACAAUAACCUUUGAGAAAUUGUGAGAACGGGAAGAUGCAAUCAUCUAGAUGGUGAAAAUAGCCGAGAGUUGAGCAACCCCUAAAAGCACUCACAAUGAAUGGUACCAGCGGAUACCAACCAGAUAGAAACAUGCUGAGAAAUCUCUGUUAUAGCUGAAACUAAUAUACCAAUCCUAUCCGUGACCCUUUCCACAUUCUUUUCUUAGUCACCUAACCUAUGACUGCUUUUUCUUUUAAGCUUUAAUAACCUUAACAUUCGAAUCUGCAUCUGCUAUUUCAGUUCUGUCUAAAGAUACUAUACUAUUCUUUGAUCACUUGAAACAUAGUAGAAAGCAUCUAAAACAGAUAUUUUUGUGGAUUCCCUCUCCUUGUGGGCUGGACUCCUUUUUACAUGGACAGACAGGAAAGUGGAAUCUGAGGAAUUAGCUGGAACAGACUCACCUUAGCUUUGAACGACUAUAUCCCCUCUUCUAUCUACAUAUGGAUAUAUAUGGUCUUUAAUAAAGGAAGAUGAUUUUAGCCGAGGACUAACACAGCUUCCAUUUUGCAGCACAUCUCUCAGUGGGAAUAGCAUCAUCCAUGACUUCAGGCACAGCUAGCUAUGGGUAAGCACAAAAGGUAAUGACGAGAGGGCCGUCCUAUGUACCCUGAAAGAUAAACUAUGUGAUAGAAGCCCGCUUUCCCACUCUUCUAUCCCACCUAUCCACACAGGGUAUCAGUGGCCUCGUGAUCUCCAUGAACAGAGAUCACUACACAAAAACUGCUUAUGUUUCCAAAGUGAAGGGAUUAGGCUUAGAAAGAAGCCCCGCUUUAGUUGAAAAAACAGCUAAAGCAAUUGUUGUCCCCGUCCCCACACCUAUCUCUAUGAAACUUCCUUCAUAGUUAGGAGAGGUUUUUUGUCUCUUUUACCGCAGGAAGUUCUCCAAAAGUAUGAAAGGCGGGAGGGCUUUGUACCAACCAUUCUAGUGUGGUUGGAUUCUGUUCAACAGCCCAAGGACUUUCCGCACAUUUUUUGUUCUUUCCACUGCUUGAAGUGAUUGCGACAACUACGAAGAAACGACGAAUCCCAACUACGGAUAUAUAAGAACCGAAACUGCUCAGAGCAUUCCAUCCGGCGUAAGCAUCUGGAUAAUCUGGAAUACGACGCGGCAUACCCGAAAGCCCUAAGAAAUGCAUGGGAAAGAAGGUCAGAUUAACCCCGAAAAAAGUGAUCCAAAAAUGGAUUUGGCCUAAAGUUUCAGGAUAUGUCCGACCAAAGAUUUUACCCACCCAAUAGUAAAAUCCAGCAAAUAAAGCAAAAACGGCUCCCAUAGAAAGUACAUAAUGGAAAUGUGCAAAAACAUAAUAAGUAUCAUGUAGAGCAAUGUCUAGCCCAGAGUUUGCUAGAACUAUUCCAGUGAGCCCUCCUAUGGUGAACAAAAAGAUGAACCCUACAGCAAAUAACAUGGGUGUUUUGUAUUGUAUCGAACCUCCCCACAUGGUAGCGAUCCAACUAAAGAUUUUGAUUCCUGUGGGCACAGCUAUGAUCAUGGUAGCUGCGGUGAAGUAGGCACGCGUAUCAACGUCUAAGCCCACAGUAAACAUAUGAUGAGCCCAAACUAGAAAUCCAAGAACACCUAUACUUAUCAUGGCAUAAACCAUGCCUAGAUACCCGAAGACCGGUUUUCUUGAAAAGGUCGAUACGAUAUGACUAAUAAUACCAAAUCCAGGCAGAAUGAGAAUAUACACCUCUGGAUGACCGAAGAACCAAAAGAGAUGCUGGUAUAAUAUUGGGUCUCCCCCUCCUGCAGGAUCAAAAAAGGUUGUAUUAAAGUUUCGAUCGGUUAAUAACAUUGUAAUUGCCCCCGCCAGUACCGGAAGUGAUAAUAAAAGUAGGAAUGCUGUCACUAGAACGGACCACACAAAAAGUGGUAAUCUAUGCAUAGUCAUUCCAGGUCCACGCAUGUUGAAGAUAGUUGUUAUAAAAUUGAUAGAACCUAAAAUUGAUGAAAUACCUGAUAGAUGAAGACUAAAAAUUGCUAAAUCAACUGCUCCUCCAGAAUGGCUGGUAAUACCACUUAAGGGCGGAUAGACUGUCCACCCAGUGCCGCUGCCCACUUCUACUAAGGCUGAGCUUAAUAGGAGCAAGAGACUUGGUGGCAACAACCAGAAUGAUAUAUUAUUUAAUCAUGGAAAUGCCAUGUCAGGUGCACCUAUCAGAAUCGGAACAAACCAAUUACCAAAUCCACCUAUCAUCGCCGGCAUAACCAUAAGAAAGAUCAUUAAAAAAGCGUGAGCCGUUAUUAAAACAUUAUAAAGUUGAUGAUUCCCACCAAGAAUUUGAUCGCCGGGUCGGGCUAAUUCCAUACGAAUCAGUACGGAGAAGCAUGUGCCCAUCACUCCUGCAAUGGCACCGAAGAUGAAAUAGAGAGUCCCAAUAUCCUUGUGGUUAGUAGAGAAGAGCCAUCGAACCAGAUUUGUCAUUUGCUGUUUUUUAGAAAUGAAAACUUUCCUUAUCAAAGAGGGGCCGGGGGGCUGGAAGAGAAGAAAGAGAAUAGUAAACGCUGGAAGAGAAAAGAAUCAGAAUUACUGAGCUACCCCGCUCUUUUUUUUUUCUAAUUCCCUUCUAAGAUCCUCCGACUUAGACAAGUCGAGAGCAUGCUCGUGCUCCGCCUUUUCGAGACUUGCCUUGCUCUUGGGGAUUUCUUCCCACCGGAUCCUCUGUUCCACUUCCAGGCACCUCCUUGCGGAGCUUUCCGCCUCAAGGAAAUCCCGGUUGUGGGAAACAGCAUUUUCAAAGAAAACUGAUCCUCCCUCAUUCUCCCGCAGAUCUUGAUAAGACGCUUGGAGAACAGUGAAAGAAUCAGUUGCGUGAAUAUGGAAAAGAUAGGAACGAAGCGCUUCAUCGACCAAGUAGGGCUCGAUCGGUAGAUAAGGCCCUACUCUUUGAUAAAGCGCCACAAAUUCCUGAAUGACAUCUUGUCGCAUAGAAGAGAGCUUUUCUUCCAUUAGGAAGAGCUUAAGCCGCCCAGGUAUGUCUUCCAGGGGGGUAUUGUGAAACAGCUCGUUCUGAAUGAACGUAACCCAUCCCGGAUCCUGCUCGUAAAGACUCAGAUAGAAGUUUAGCCCUGCUAAAUGAGCUAGAGCCUGGGGGUCUUGAAUCUCCGGCGGGAGAGUGAUCAGAAAGGAGGAGCCGACGAAGCACGAACAAAAAAGAUUGAAAACGGCUAUUACUAUUAAUAUAAAACGCCAAAGGAAUAAAAAUAUACAAAUCGAAAGUAAUAUAAAAUUAUAUAUUAAGGGAAACUUAAUACAUAAGAAAAAAUAGAAAGUAGUAAAGCGAGUAGUGGAGAAGAGCCAUCGAACCAGAUUUGUCAUUUUCUUUUCGUUUUGAAAACUUUCCUUAUCAGAGAGGGGCCAGGGGGCUGGAAGAGAAGAACUUGAAUAGUAAACGCUGGAAGAGAAGAACCUUAAUACUAAACCAAGUUUCGGGAACUUCUUGGUGACUUGAUUGGUUCCCUUCCCCCAAUUUGCAAAGGAUGAUUCCCGUGAAGGUGAUCUCGAUCACCAUUCUAUGAUAUUUCAGGAUGCUUUUGAGAAGCUUUUCCUUUUACCUAAUGCCGGCUACCGACAACUUACUUCAUGCUAUUACUAACACUUAUGACUGAGCCGCACUUGCUUUCCAAAAGAAAUUGAAACUAUCAUGCCUGAGACUAGCCAAUAGAAGAAAGAGCCACAAGCAAGCCAUAGCAGCAUCCUUUUUCUUCGCUUUCUUCAACAAUGCGAAUCUACCUCACUCCUCAUCAUAACUCAAAUACAAAUUCGAGUUCCAAAUUGAUAUUUCCUCACGUAAGCAAUAAAAUGUGAAACCAAUAUUCAUCAUGAAACUUCAGACACUGAUGAUUGUGAGGUUCUGGAAGAGAGACGACGUAGGCUGAUUCAAAGUAAACAGAAAACCACCCCUUAAACUCAUUUGCUCAACAUUCUUUCCACAGCAACUAGAAAAGUGGAGAAAAUCCAAUAAGGGGAGGUCCCGGUGAAUACAAAUCAAUUGGAAACCGAACCCAGCAUUCAUGUCUCUAACAAGGCUGUCUAAGCUAAGCGGCCAUGGACCCAUGGACCCGGGGAAUCUGAACCAUUAGGUAGAGUUUCAGCUGAAAGAAAACCAGGUCAAUCUUCCGAUCGCGAGUCUUUACAAGCUUGAAACAACUUAAGCACAGGCGGGAGUCGCCCCUUUUAAAGUCAGUAUUUAUGCGGCGCUGAACUAACGAGCGGAUACCUAACCUUCGAAGGAGAAGAAAAGACGGAUGUAUCUUUCAUUCAUAUCGAUCAGAUGUGCUUUGCUCAGGACUCCCAUUUUACCAUUGCUUAAGCCAUAUUACAUAAAGCAUAGUGAGUGAUACGCAAUGCUGGUACCACCAUGUUUUUUUCCUCACUCUGUGUAGCCACACUCGUUUGUCCAUUUCUACUUAUUAUUUCUGUUAAAUAGUAUCCGUUGGUUGUAGAAGCACUGGCGUUCAGGGAUUGCAAAAUCCAUAAUAUCAAGAAGCGGUAGGAACCUGGCUAACUUCGAUGCGGAUAACGCGCUGUAGAAGAAAGUGGAUCAACCAAAGUAGACCUUGAUCGAAAGGCACCACAAGGCGAACCAAUAGAGUGUGGUGUAAGCGGUGAAGCAGAAUAGGAAUUGGAACUGCUUGAACUAGAAAGGGCUUCCGCUACCACGCUACCUCGGGAGCUCCGGAAACGGUAUACUCGCUUCACUCAUCUGUAAUGGUAUCCUCGAAAGCUAGCUAAAGUGGGUUCUAGACAAAGUUCUCCUAAGCAGGGCGGAAGGAAAAACAAGAGCAGUAUAGCUCUACAUUACGCUUCGGGGGCCUCGUCUUACUCACUCACCUUCUACUAAUCGGACCGUGACAAAACAACCAGCCCAGCAAUAGGCAAGGACUGGCUGAAAUCCCUUUCUGGAUCCAGUCUAUCCGUAUCUGCUGUCCCUUCCGCUUUCUGUGUUGAUGGAGCUCGGUCAGAUAGUUCCGGUAUUGCGAAGGAGGGCAACGCAUUGGGAUCGUCCAAUCCCUUCUGAUCGGUUGUCAUAUUGAAUUGAAAAUUCUCGUAUAGUAAGAGUUCCUUCGGUUUCCUACCUAGCACAUUCUCUGUUGUCUACGCCAAUAUUUGACCUGCGAGUAGAGUGUGGCUGGCUACAUACGGGGGAACUCAACCUACCUUUCGAAGGGUAGACCUUUACAGAUGAGUGAAACGAGGAUUUAGGUAUAUAAGGAGACGACCCGCCAAGCGAGCCAGCCUGAUACCGACUUUCAUUGAUAGGCCAUGAAACAUAGAGAAUGGGAACUUGUUCGCACGUACCUCGACCGCAGGUCUGAGAAUGACGAGUGUGCUUUCGCCCACAGCUUCUGUUGCUUAACCGGCUCGUGGUGUUUAUGGUCCUGACCCGGUACAGCCGCUAAGCUCAUUUUUCAUUUCCAAGUGUUGUUACUAGCCUCGAGAGAGAUGUUUCACAGGAUUCACCUGCAACUGAUAAACCAGGGGGAUAAUACCGAAACAGUCCUUUUUUUUUCUGAUCAUAGAGGAGCCGUAUGAAGCUAAGGUUUCAUGUACGGUUUUGCAAUAGCGGUGGGAGCUGUGAUGUUAUUAUCGACUAUGAUUAUCUAACAGUUCAAGUACAGUUGAUAUAGUAGAAGCACAGCCAAAAUAUGGUUUUUUUUAUGGAAUCUUUGGCGUCAGCCUAUAGGCUUUCUAGUUUUUAGAAUUUCUUCUUUGGCCGAAUGUGAAAGAUUACCCAGAGGGGGAAUUAGUUGCAGGUUAUCAAACCGAAUAUUCCGGUAUCAAAUAUGGUUUCUUUUUUCUUGUUUCUUACUUAUCCUUAUUAGUUUCCUCUUUAUUUGUAACAGUUCUUUACUUAGGCGGGUGGAAUUUCUCUAUUCCCUACAUAUCCACGAUUCUCCCAGUGUAGGAAUCACACUAGUUAUCUUGACCUUGAUUCGGUCAAGCAGUUUUUCCUUACUAUACUCCAGUACGAACAGGAAAAGAAUCUGUGUACUCAACGGUGCAUUAGUAAUUAUCUGGGAUUUCUUUUGCUCUUUAAAGCAAAACGGUGUCUUGACUCUCAAGAAUAGUGCGUGUUAAUAUCCAUGUAGAUAAAGAUAGAGAUAGCAACGAACUGGAUGCAUAGUAAAACUCAAAACUUGUGACUUGUUCUCGUAGGCUAACUAACCAAAUCAUAGGAUCUAACACGAGACCGGAUAAACACCGCGCCCCCGCCGCGUCUAUCUAUAUAAGCUAAUCCCUCGACCUCAACCGACUCCCAAAUCUCAAUUGCUUUGGCUCUCUCUCUCCCUCCCUUUCGCCGCGUGCGCCGUCCAAUCCAAACCAAUCCCAAGUCCCCACCCGCUCGCGGCGAGCAAAGCAAGAUGAUUUCCCCGGACGCGGCCCGCAACGUCGUCGGCAAUGUCAUCUCCUUCGGCCUCUUCCUCUCCCCUGUGUAAGCCGCCGCCGCCAUCCCCCUCGUCCGCUUGUCUAGUCUACUCUCUAUGGAAGGUGGUUGGUAAUUAGGGUUUGAUUCUGAUGAGGGGGCGCUUGCUUUUUGCUUGUACAUGUGCAGGCCGACGUUCUGGCGAAUCAUCAAGAACAAGGACGUGGAGGAGUUCAAGUCGGACCCGUACCUAGCGACGCUGCUCAACUGCAUGCUCUGGGUGUUCUACGGCAUCCUCUGCGUCAUAUUCGGCUCGGCAAUGUACGCCUCCCCGCUCACCAUCAUGGUACGUACCCAUCGAUCCCGCUCUUGAUCCACGUGCAUAGAUGUCUUUUUAGAUCUAUAUUGGUAGAUGUUAGUGAUAUUGUUGGGGAAUAGGCGUGCGUUCCCCUUCGGUUGGUGGCGGCGGUGAUGUUGUUGGUGUUGUGUGGAUGAGGGUUUCAUAGGUUAAGUUGUCGUGCAUGGUCACUUACUGCUGGGUCAGUCAAGGAUUUUUUGGACCCAGCUGUCAGUGACACGUUGCCUUUGCAGUUCAGAAUGGAUUGGUGAUUCAGGGGUUCUACUGUUUAAGAUUAAAAAAGCCGAUAUUAAUUCUUCUGGAACUUCUAUUUAAAAACAGAUUAGCCAUAUUCAUCUUCUCCAGUCUCCAGGUUCUUUUCUGAUUACUGAUUAAUGAUGGGUUGCCAUCAUCUUUCAAAUCUGUUGCAUGAUCUAGACACAGUGAUCUGUGAAGGAUCUUGCAGCUUACUCAGGGCAAGUGACUCAUUAGGUUAUAGUUGAGGCAUUCAUUAUGUACCACUAUUAGCAUACCUUAGUUGCUGUUUGUUCUGGAAGCAUGGAUGCGGAAGCCAAUUUUGGAACCAAAUCCAUCUCUAAAAGAUGCAUCAAUGGUCCUGUUUUAACCAUCGUGUCAAAUCUCUUCUUUCCCCCUUUUUACCAGUAAAAACCAACGUGCUACCUUUUGGGCUAAACUGUCAUGGUGUUCGUGUGGCACAUCCCAAGAACAUGUUGCUCUAUGUUCCGUCAAAAGGCCUAUUGUUCGUUUCUACCUAAAAAGAUACCGUAGCCCCUACGUGUCCUCUGAUUAUCGAUGCGGUAUCCUUGGUUACUUGCAGUUGCAUUCAAUACAGGCAGUUCUGUUGUACAAUUGAUUAGCCAACCAAACUUGUUCUGUUGUUCUCGCCAAACUCGUUGGCUGUUGAGUGACGGGUCUGGAACGGGAGGAAUAUUUCAUCUAAUGAAAUCUGCCAUGUUCAGCUUCAUCAUAAACAUAUGUGUUCACCUAGGGGAUGCAAGUUUCAGGUGUGCCAGAUUUCGAAUCAUGUGUUCUUGGAUGGAGAUAGUACAUGUGUCCCUGUACCAGUCUGUGCUUUUUGUGAUCUUCCCUUGCCAACUCUGUGAGAUGAUCACGUUGAAACGGAAAAGGGAUCCUGUAUGUCGGUUUCUUCUCGUGGGUCAUGUGGUCCAGGUGUAGAGUUCACCAAUAUUACCUGUGGAAUUUAUUUACAUUUUACAUAGAACAUAGAAUCAAUCUUGUUAAUUACCUAUGUCUGUGUAAUAUAUAUAUAUAUUUUUUGAACGCUCGAGCUGUUGCAUCCUGUGCUUGGAAUUAAUGAAUAUAUAUUUUUGCGGGGAGGAAUUAAUGUGUAUUGUGUGUUGCGUGCAGGGUAAAGUGAUCAAGACCAAGAGCGUCGAGUACAUGCCCUUCUUCCUGUCGCUGGUGAGCUUCCUCAACGGCGUCUGCUGGACGUCCUACGCUCUCAUCAAAUUCGACCUCUACGUCACGGUCAGUAAUAUCUCCAUCUUCAGGUUCCAACCAAAUCUUAUAUAACUUGAGAGUGUCUCUCUAACCGUGCCGGCUCUUGUCUUCGUUCGUGCACUGCAGAUCCCCAAUGGCCUCGGUGCGCUGUUUGGCCUCGUCCUGUACGCCUGCUACUACAAGUCGACCCCCAAGAAGGAGAAGAACGUCAAGCUAAAAUGUGAUUGAAGGCCCGCCCGCUUCCUGGCUCCUUGACUGCAAUAACAAGUGCUAGCUACAGUAAGAACAAGGGAAUCUAGAGACCGAGACUGAAAGAAAAGGCUAGGCUACUUCUAUUCGUUAUUCGUUUCCCAUAUGAUUUUCCAUAUUUUACCAUAAAAAAUAGGAUGUUUUUAGCCAUUUAUUGUUAGUACUGAAAUCAGGCAUAAAGGAUUUUACGGGGGGUAAAGAAGUUAUUUCAACAACGUUCCUGUCAUCAAAUCCUGAUUCAACAAAGCCAUGCCAGCUGUGUUGGUCGUUCCUCCGAUUCAAAGUUCUCUUGGAUUCCAAAAAGCAUCGCUACCCGCAUACUGAAGUUGCUUAAAUCUAUUGAAUUCCACCUCUGCACCUCUUUCUUGGGGCAUAGGUGAACCUAUAAUUGAUAGUAGAGCGUAUGCUAAAUCCCCAACCCUCAUGAUGCACUUCGUUUGAUUCAUUCCGCUUAUCGUACCACUUAGAGCUUUCAAACCCUUUUCUUAGCGAUGCGGUAAUAUGUUGUUAUUUAGAAAUAGGAAUGGUAUGUUUAAUAGCUCGCAUAUGUGUGUUUCAGAUUCUAUAGUACUCGGUUCUUCUGUUCGACGAGUUCUGAUUUUCCUAGGUCUAAUAAUAUGUAUACUGGUUCGUUUUCACCGGAGGAGGCAGCUAGAAAUCCUGUUUUGUCAGUAGGUUGGCGUACAAGGAGGAUAAAGGAAAGCCCGUUUGUAGUUCAAUUCGUUAGAACCAAAUGGCACGUUGAGAAACGAGAACUUCCACAUGCCGAGCAUCAUUACCGUACUGGUGACUUCACCACCUGUUCAACUAUUAGCUUUCUUGCCUUAUCACAAUCGAAUGAAUUGAGACAACCAGAGCAACUGGAACUACUACAUCUGAGAGAGAUGAGGAACCUAACCUACGGUGAAAGCCGAAAGCCUUACGCAUUGCUUUAAGAAUGGGUCUAGCGGGCGUAUGGAAUCCGUGACCCCUAUCUCUUCACUUUCUUAAUUAUGACAGUCAAGUUGAAUCGAUUUUACGGGGUUUCUUACCCGUUUUUCCAGUCUCAGUAAAGUGCCAUCAAUUGGAUGAAAGAAUCCCGCCCUCUAGUCGAGUGUGAAGGGAGGAGAAGAGGGAAGAUGGUUAUUCUUUUUCUUCUAGGCAAGGAAUGGGUAAACGCAGCCCUGUAAGGAGUAGGUAGCUCUCAGCCCUUCCCGGAAUGUAUUCAUUGGUUGCUGUAAGCCCUACUUUCGAUCAAUAAGUAAUACGCGAAGUCGCUAGCUCCACGUGCCAUGCGCAUCCUUCUCUUAACCUUUCAAUCGAGAGUCAUCAACGCUUGCCUUGCUUUGCUUGCCCAGUCUAUUAGUAUGGCAUCCCUUCUCCUUAGUCCUCUUUGGCCCGUGUGCCGGCGCGCAUCCAUCUUUAGCAGGAGAUAGGAGUGUUUGUUCCGCUAAGGAAAGGAAGGUAUUCGUCGUAGGCGCAGAAGGUAUUCGUCGUAGGAUUGAGCUGAGCCAGGUAUGUCACAUCACAUAGCUUGCAAGCCCAGGUGAUUUCUGCAUUACCAAUCGAGCCGAGGAACCAACUUAGUAAAGAAUAACCUACUUUACUUGUUUCGUUAUGCUAUAGCCACCUAAUAAAGGGAAGAUUCCUAUUAGAAGAAGAAGAAGUUGGCAAUCUACUAAUCAAGAUCGACCAAAAUGGAUAGUUCCAUUAACUAUAUGGCAUUUCUAGCCCGAAAAGUAUGAGGUACACAUAGGUAGGGAGCAUCAUCGUACUCAAUCCUGCUUAGGUAGAGCAAGACAAACGGAUCUAUCAUUCCGCAAGAAGUGACUCGUUUCCUUUUCUGGGUAAGAAGAGGGGAGGUCCCGUCGACCAAGAAGAAUACCUUCUCCAAGCAAUCGAACUCUUCCUUUCUUUCUAUAGCCACUGUACUCCAUCGAGGAUAAGACGGAUACGCGAUUUCUGCACUUCCUCCGCUUGCCCCUCAGUGGAUAGCACUUUCUUUCGAGAAAUUGGCAGGGACUGCGUACCAUUAAAGGGAGUCAGUGGGCACCGUAAGUAGUAAUCGAGAACUUGAUGAACAUACCAACCAGUAUGUGAAUCCGUAAAACAAGUGGAGGUUUUUCUUCCUUCCCCGAUAUCCCUCGCUCUACCCAACUAUCUAUAAUGGGGCAGAGAAGGAUAAGCAAAGUAGGCGCACGAAUAUUUAUUAAUUAAGAGUUUUCGAGACUUCAUUCUCUUUUUAGUUUUGACUCUGGGUCCGGUACAGGUUGACGCGGAGGAUAGGGAUGGGAAAAGAAGCCCUAGCUUUGGGAAAGACCGGAUCAUAACAUGAAUUUCAGGGCAUACUUAGUAGAUGCAGAUCUAGGUACUCUUUCUUCCCCAGAUGGGGAAUGGGCCAAGCCGAUCCGUUGUUGGCUCUGAAAGUGCAUUUGCUAGUUCGAAAGAAGCUGAAUCCGGGUGCAAAUGGGAUUCCAAAUGAUUCUUAUGUUUCGUAGCAUGCUGCGCAGACUCACUUGGUAAAUAGCCUUCCCUAAAAGAGGCAAGGUGCUCACACAUGAAAUUCCCUUUUGAAGGAUAUCCUAUUUUACUUUUAUGCCAUACUUGGGCAAAGCCAUCGAGACUAUAUCCAUCACCAGGAAGAAGAGAAGCGAAGCCAUAAUUUCUUUAGGAUAAGCCUGAGAUAUCUAGUACAGUAACAGUGGUCGAAUUGCUGCAUAGCCCCCCCUAACACGAAUUUGGCAAAUCCUCGUUCUAAAGUUAGCGCACCAUUGAGGUAAGUAAAUAUUAGUAGGCACACAGGCAGCCCGUUGCAAGGAAGGAAAGAGCAAGAGCUAGGGCUAAGUGCUCGAGUUACGGUUGUUGACUCGGAAUUGUAAGCCGAAGAAGCAUUCCUGUGACCUGGCCGUAUGAAUGGUUUCUUUCUCAAUACCAGAGCUAAAUAAUUAGGCAUCAAAAUUCAAAGAAGGUUUGCCUUCACUUCAACCUUAACCAUUGACGGAAGAUUCAUACCUAUGAAUAUUCCCCUCCUCAUUUGCUGAAAGCACUUCCUAUAGCGAACCAGGCAAGGAACAUAUCGAGUAGGCUAGUACCAAUUCCUCCACAUCAACAGCAAAAUAGGCAUAUGAAUCUUAAGUAGGAAAUUCCUUCAUCUCAGAUGAGGUAGGUAAUCUACCAGAAUUUAUUUCCAUUUCCAGGUAAGAUGAGCGGAGACGAGUUUAUCAGCACCGAUACCCCCACGCAUCGUGGCCGGUUCCCUCGGGGGUAGAAACUUAGCUUGGAGAAAGAUCCCGUUGAUCUUCGGGCUGGCCCUUGCCUAUUGAAAGUAUGGUGUCUCAUAAAUGCUUUGUUAAUGCCUCUUAUUCGUAGGAUCGGUCCAAAGCGCGGCUGAGUUGACGUUGAUAGACUUGUGCGUGCUCUGCCGCUCGUAACCUUUUUUUUCUCCCAUCGAUCGAAUCGAGGAGGUCAAGUUUCGAGAGCCUCUCGCUUCUGAUUAUCAGUCAUAUCAUCGUCGAGCAGAACGCGCAGGGAAGGAAUCGUCGAGUUCACUGGGAAGAAUGGCGUCCAUGCCAACGACUAAGGAGAAGGGGACCAGUGGCUAUACAGAUUGACG
rnacentral:lncRNA from 1 species